AAGAUAACACAUCUUUCUCCAAUACGGGUGGUUAGGAGAUUUUCCAAAGGAAAAAAUAAAUAAAAAUUGCUUACGAAAGACUUUGACUAUUCUAAUAUCCGACCAUAGAUUUUACGUGUGAAGACUUUGCUUAAACUUAUUUCAAGUCGACUAAAGUCCUAUCUUCUGCUCUUAUGUUCUUCGUUUGGCGCUUGUAGCUGUCAAUUUGUUAGCCAUGUUGGCUUUGUUAUUGUUUGUAAACAAUUCCUCCUCUAAUGGAGCGUAGCUAAUCUAUAAAAUCUCAUUUGAGCAAAAAAAAAAUUAAAAGGAAACCAAAGUCUAAGGUUACAGAAACUUGAAUUGGUGAAUUAGUGGAGAUGAUUAUGUAAUGAAAUCCUAAACGAUUAUUGUGUUGUGCCCAUUCUAUUUCUUCGUUAGUCUCUCUGAAGUAGAAGAACAUACCUUCGAUUAAGACAUUGCCUGUUUAUGAUUUCACUUGGAUUCAUGUUUCUUUUUUAGCACUCUAUUGAGGAUUUCUUAUGUGCUACUUGGAACAAGUAUAGGUUUUAAUUCUUUAAGUUGCUCAUUAAUGGAAUUUUAGUGAGUGUAGAGAUUUUGAGUUCACUAAUUCGUAAAAGAAACGCUUGACAAAAGUGAGGAAGACGGAUUCGUAAAAGAAAAAGAUUGAGUUUGCCACAAACUACUCCACAAGAUUGAUCCCUAUAGCUAAUUCAAAUAGUAUUUGGAGACAAACUAUGUGUAAGACCGCGAAAAUCCGAUUGAAAUCACGAAUAGAAAAUAGCAAUAUUAUAAACGAUAUGUUAAGGUAAGAGAUUAAAACGAGAGUUAGAAAACCGAUUGAAAACAGACGAAAACACGGAGUCGAGAUAUGAUCUCUUUCCUUAACUCAAUAAAUCGCCCGUAAUGUGUGACGGUUUAUUGCGAUUUUUGAAUCCCAGGAUACAACCGUGAUGAGACUAUUACGCAACACCCGUAAAAGAAUCUGCGAACUGAAAUUAUACUACGCUAUAGCUCUCGAGACACUUACGAUAUUAAGACGAGAGGGUUGCUGGAAAGAAUUAUUUGCUGUGUGUUUGGAGUAUUCGAGAAUUCGAUUAUAAUUCGAUGAUCUAGAAUGAGAGAAGAUGGCGUCUAUUUAUACUGGAAGGUUCAGCUUGAUCCGCAAGGAAUAAGCUUUGGCGAAAAGGAAUAUUCACAAAAUAUUCUCCUUUUUCUGCAAGUAAAAGGAUUCGGAAAUCUUCCGUUAUUAUCUGGACGCAAUCUUUUAUUUCUUAAGAUUUAUCCUUUCAAUAUGCAAAAAAAUAUUUCGCAGGAACUAAGAUGCCCACGACCCACACCCAGCUAAAUAGAGCCCAAGAGCCAACUAAAAAAUGCAAUGAGCAACGAGCAACGAGCCCGGCACCGGCAACGGCGGCGGCGCGCGUAGGUGUUUUUGCAUAAUGCCCUUUUACUUCCACAAUGAUGCUGACCCUUAUUGUGAGAAAACCAUAUAUAUACAAGAGAUUUUUCUCCUUGGUGAGCAAUGUGGGACAAAUACACUUCCACUAAACUUCUACUUUUAGUUAAAAUUAAUAGGAAUAUUUCAUUUCUAUAGGCUCAAACCCAAAUCUUAAAUGAAUUUAUAAGGCCCAUUUGCUUAUUAAACUUCAUUUCUUAUUCAUACACAAACUCAAUAUUACAAGUCCAAAUGCUUAUCUAUAUUAGUAUUUGUGAAGUGAUUCGGGCUGUGAUUUAACGCACAGAUUUCUGUGUCGUUUUGAUUAAUGAAAUUAUGAGGAUUUGAUUGGUUGAUAAUUGUUAUAAUUUGAUUGGUUGAAUUAGUUAAUUUUAAAUCAUUAAAAUCGAUAUUAGUUGCUAAAAAAUGGAAAACUUCUUUAAUUCAAGUAGGAUUUGAUUGGUUGAUAAUUGUUAUAAUUUGAUUGGUUGAAUUAGUUAACUUUAAAUCAUUAAAAUCGAUAUUAGUUGCUAAAAAAUGGAAAACUUCUUUAAUCAAAUCCUCAAAAAAAUUUCAAACCCAAAAAACAUAUACAUACCUUCCAAUACGUCAUUUGUGCUGAUUGAGAUGGUAGUGUGUUGGUUAAGUGCUUUGUCCAUUUAUCGAAGGUUCACGGGUUCGAAUCCUGUAAUUAGUGUUUUUUUUUUUAAUUCUAUUUUUGGAAAUAUUUUAUAUUUAUUAAAUAUUUUGUAAAAGGGAAUAUUCCAUAAUUUCUUUGUUAUUAUCUACAAUGGAAUCUUUACAUUUUUAUUAUAGAUAGCUACGAAAUUCAUGGGAAGAUAAUAUCGCAUGUAGAUCAAUAAUUACAUUUUAGUAUUUUUCACAAGAAAAUAAACCCUAGGUUGUUUAGACGUAUAAAUAUGAGCGUUUUCAACCAAGCUUCUCAUAAUUAACGCAUUAGUUUUUCUAUUAGGGUUCUGUGAUUAUUUUGCUAGGUUUUUUAUUAUAGCAUUAACUUUUUGGAUCUCUUUAGAAAAGAUUCAGCAUGUUUGUCUAUUUGCAUGCAAAGCUAACAAUGUGUUCCUCUAAGUACAGCUUUGAUCAUCCAUCUAAAGUCAGAAUCACUUGGGAAGUUCCGUCUACCGAUUCUGGUAUAUAUGUAUAACUAUUAUCAAAUUUAAUAAUAGUAUGUAUGCUCUCAAUUUUUUUAGAUGAAUUCUAAAAAUUUAUACGACUAUAGGUUUUGAUAACCAGGCUUAUGCUCGCGGGUUAAAGUCUGUGUUGAAAUCGCAUCGUCAGAAUAUGGAUAACAAAGACAUGACUGAUUAUCGUUACGUGACUCCAUAUGUUUUCGUGGAUAUCACCAAAAAAAAAGGUUGUUGAACCUCUUUAGUUUAUUCAUUCAAUUUAUAAUACUUAUUAGUAGUUGUUUGUAUUUGUAGGUUAUCCAUGCAAGCUACUUAUCGAUUCUGCUAUCGAUGAAUGGACCUUGCGGACAUAUAAUCCUGUUAUCGAAGGUAGUCCUAUCUAUUAAUCUUACAGUUUUUACCUUUUGUAAUGCUAUAUCUUAGCCUUUCAGAUGCAUACCCUUAUUAUAUAUUAGUCUAUGAACGUUUUCAAUUUUUAUGUAGAUAUUGAUUCUUCGUAUCAUAUAUCUAUUCUUGAUCACGAGCUUUUUAUCAAAGGAGGUAUUUCCGCUCUUAAUGUAAUAUAUUUUUGUUAAUGGUGUAUAUUAAGUCUUUAUGUUUGCUCUAAUGUUUGUUUUGUGUAUUUAGUUUCUGAUCGUGUUAAUACGAGUGAUCAUGCUCAGAAGACUUUUCUAUGGGAUUUUGCGAGGAAUGCUUGGGUUAUGAAUAAAGAAUCUAAUGGUUUCAAUUCUUUUUUUUUGUUUUGAACACUGUUUUUUAUGUUUUUUUAGAAUACUAAUUACAUCGUUUUUACAUAUAUUUAUCUAUGCAGAAGAUAGUGACUCUGAUGAUACUGAGGUUUCAUCGGGUCGUGGUAUUGAUGAUGAUUAUGGUUUUGAGGAUUAUAUGAGGUCUGAUUCAGAGACGGGUGAAGAUACUGAUGAUAUGGACCCAACAGAUGAGUAUGAUUCUGAGGAUGAUUUUAUUGACGAUGAUGAGACUUGUGAAGAAUCUGAUGGUUCAAGUGAUAGCUCAGAAGAUGAUAGCGGUGAUGACGAAGAUGAAGAUGACGACGAUGCCGAUUCAACUGAUGAUAAUGAAAAUGAUGAUGAAGAUGUUAUGUUGGAUGAUGAGACUGAUAUUGACGAUGAUAGUGAAGAUCAGCGAAACGUCGAACUGAGUGAUAUACUCAUCGAAAAGAAUAUUAGUAUAUCUGGACACCAGGAUUCGGUGUGUACUUAUACAGUUUCUCUUGGUUCAAUGUGUUUUGGUAAGUGUGUUUCACGUUUGAGUCCUUCCAAAGAUGAUUGUACUAUCUUUGUUAAGGUUUUACAAACGUGGGUGCAUAUGCUAAUUUCGAAACGUUCUUCUAUGGAGCUCAUAUUGUCAGAUGAACAGGUAUUUAUUGUACUAUUACACAAAAGUAUUAUAAAUUUUAGUCGGUGUCUAAUUGACUGUUUUAUUCACAGGGUGUAAAAAUUCAGGCCACUGUUAGUGAUGGUGAGAUCAGUGUUGCAUCGUCUCGCAUAGAUGUUGGUAGUUGGAUUAUUAUCAGUCGUUUUUCUGUUACUGAUUGUGAGGAUAGUUGUAGACCGACUUCUCAUAGAUACAAAAUAUUGUUCCUACCAUCAACUAUCAUUGACAAGACUUCACGUAGAUGUGAAAAUGCCUAUUUUGACUUCGUUGAUUUUCAAAGGAUAUUGGAUCGUUCCCAUGAUGAUGACUAUUUAGUUGGUGUGUUUAUUUUUGAUUUAGUUAUUGAAUUUCUUUAUUGUUAUCUUACUGAUGCUAACAUUGUUUAAUUUUUGUUGUCUAUGAAGAUUUGAUAGGUCGUGUCUUAAAUGUAAGACUAUCUGGAACGUCCCGUGGUUUACUGACUGGAGAGCAUUCUUUUCAUUCAUAUGGCAGUCUAUGUAAUGAUAUAUGUGAUUCCGAGAUAUGGGGUUCAUAUUCAACCGUCACGUUCUGUCUUAGAGAUAAACGGUAUUGUCUGCUGAAUGUUUUAAACUGUAUAAUGUCGUUUUAAUUAUUCUAUCCAUCUGAAUAUGUGUGGCAUGUUUUAAUUUAGUGGUGUUGAUUUGAGUUGUGAAUUGUUCGGUGAGAUGGCGAAAAACUUUUAUGCAUCUUGGAGACGAUGUGAUCAAGAUAUCAUUGUGUGUGUGCUUAGAUGGGCUGUUAUUGAUUAUUUUGGAGGUAUUUUUAGUAUACUAAUUUAUAUUCUCUAUGUUCGUUUCAUUUUAUUGUUUUGACUCUGUAUUUGGUUUAUCAAUAUAGGCAAGAUCACUAUAUCUUCCACAUCUCCUACUAAGUUCGAACUCAAUCCCCAUAUUCCUGAGUUAGAUGAGUUUUUGGAACAGUGAGUUUCUAAUACUUAAUGUUUGUAUUUUGACUUUUUGGUAUUAAUUUGUGGUCGCCUUCUCUCUCUCUCAAGUCUUUUUUAUAACAAUGCAGAUAUCCGCGUAAGAGGCCAUGCACGCGUGGUAGUGUGGCACGUCUACAAUGAAUAAUGUUAUGACGUCUACAUUGAAUAUCAUUUUUACCAUGUAUACAAAUUAUAGUUUAAUUAUUCUUUGUUCUUCAGACCUCUUUAUUUCAAUCAAUAAAUAUAUUUUUUUAAUGAAAUUAUUAUUGUUGUUUGAUAUUGAAGUAUAUAGAGCGGAGAAAAUAAUAUAAGUUAUAUAUUCACAUAAAUAACGCAUGCUUUUAUUGGUUUCUUGGACUCCAAGUAACUCAUAUUUAUAAAUAUUUAAGAAGAUUUGAAUAUAUCCCCGAUCAUAUCAUAACUUUUAGUUUUUUCCAUUUAGUGUUUAUGAGAAUCAUGGUGUUUGAAUGGAUUGUUUUAUUGAUUUCUUGGACUCCAAGUAAUUUAUAUUUAUAAAUAUCUAAUAGGAUUCGAAUAUAUCCCCGAUCAUUCCACAAUUUUUGUUUUUUUUUUCAUUUAGUAGCUAUGGAAAUCUUGGUGUUUGAAUGAAUUGAUUAAUUAGUUAUUAAAAAGGAAAAACUCGGUAGUUGAGAUGUUAGUUAUUAAAAAGGAAAAACUCGGUAGUUGAGAGGUGUGUAUAAAAUGUAAAUAAAGGAAAACAUUCUAAGAAACCCUAGAAAAAAAAUAAAUAACGCGUAAACCACAUAACUCUUAUAUCUCUAUAUAUAUGCAUAUAUUUCGGUAUAGGUAUAUAUAUGCGUCUAUCGCGACUUCACGGGUUAUCAGCCUGCAUUGUUAGAAUUGUUUGCAUUCGGGUUCUUCGAUGAAAGCGUUUGGUAAAUGAGUUUUGUAUUACGUUUUUGAGGAUGUCACUAAUCGUUAAUUUUCUUUACGGUAUUUUAUUAAUUGUUCUUAUUGUAUAUAUGAUUGUUGUUCUAUUGUACAUGUCUAGGUGCUCACAAGCGACCACGUGUUAAUUGGCAAGUUAUGCCGUUUCAUCUCCCGGGGGAAAAUAUUGUGUUUUCUAAUAAUUUAGAUAGACGUGUUCCUGCUAAAAAACCUAAAUUCCUUGCUUGGUUUAGGUGUAAUCAGUCUUAUCCAGAGGCAAUGAAUCUUUUAUACUCGGAGAUUCCUUCUACGUUUGUAUGGGAUCGUAAAAAUAGGACAUGGAGGCCAAGACUAAAAGGAAAUUCUGGUGCUUGUGUUGUGGACGAAUCACCGACUGAGUAUGGAGAAGAGUAUUAUCUGAGACUAUUAUUGGACAUAGUUAGGGGUCCAUGUAGUUUUGAUGAUAUUAGGACUGUUGGUGGAGUCGUUUAUCCUUCGUUUAGAAGUGCAUACCAUGCAUUAGGGUUUGUUGGUUGAUUAUCAGAAGUCAGUAAUUUUUUACCAUGUUUUUUUUUUAGUUUCUUUAUCGUGGUAUACUUAUCUCUUAUUUUAGCAAAAGCAAUAUAUAAUAAAUGAUAUUAGAAUAAUUAUAUAUAUCAGUUUUGUUAUAAUAAUAAAGUUUAAUUAUAACAUAUUAUUAUUCCGCUUAGGGUUUAGGGUUUAGCCGUGCGGAAUAAUAAUAAAGCUUACACAGAACAUGCGACUUAUAUCUGGAGAUAAUAGCCGUGCGAUGCUUGAACGAGCUGCCUUUACAAAGUGGAUCUUAGACAUUGGUGAUGGUACGAUAAAUGACGAUGGUAGUGGUGAAGCUGUGAUUGAAAUUCCUGAUGAUCUGUUGAUUAAAGACUGUAAAGAUCCUAUAAAAACGAUCGUCAAAGAAGUUUAUGGGAGUUCAUUUUCGAAAAAGACUGAUCCUAAAUUUUUCCAAGACCGUGCCAUACUGAGUCAAAGAAACGAUGAUGUAGAUACGAUAAAUGAUUAUAUGCUUUCAAAGUUAUCGGGUAUGUUUAUUUUGUUUUAAUUCCUCUUAGUUUAUUUUUUUAUAUUUAUAUAAUACGACGGUUGUUUUGUAUAUAACAGGUGUUGAAAGGACCUAUCUUAGCUGUGAUAGCAUUGAUACAACUGAAGAAGUUGUCAAUUACAAUGAUGCAUCUGAAGUACCCUCAGAGAGUGUAGCCAGUAAGAAUAAAGGUGAUUCCAACAACAUGAUUUAUACCGAGGAGUUUUUAAAUAGUAUCAAGAUGUCUGGUUUCCCUAAUCAUGUCCUGAAGUUGAAAGAGGGUACUCCUGUAAUGCUUCUAAGAAAUAUCGACCCUAAGAAUGGGUUGUGUAAUGGCACAAGACUCAUCAUUAUUAAGAUGGCUAAUUAUGUUCUCCAGGCUCAGAUAAUAACAGGUAGCAAGGUUGGUGAAAAGGUACUGAUUCCUAGGAUAUUCCUCUCUCCUUCGGAGAUGAAACUUCCUUUCAGGAUGAGACGCAAGCAGUUUCCUAUCACAUUAGCUUUUGCAAUGACUAUAAACAAAAGCCAAGGACAGACACUCGAAAAGGUUGGUUUGUAUCUUCCAAGACCGGUUUUUACUCAUGGGCAACUCUAUGUCGCUGUAUCGAGGGUUACAUCAAGAGAAGGUCUGAAGAUAUUGAUCACCGAUAAAGACAACAAACCACAAAACAAAACAUUGAAUGUCGUCUACAAGGAGGUUUUUGACAAGAUAUGAUAUUUCUUUUUACUGUGUUUUGUUUUGUGAUAUGUUGUCUCUAUGUAUCUCGAAAUAUGUUAGUUCUUUUUAUUGUAUAAGACCAUUACAUUCGGUUUUAUAGUUUUUAAUAGAUUUUACUUUUUUCGAUUUUUCACUAAAUUGGAUCUCAUGUAUUAAUGGUUUGAUCUCUGAUUUUUAACUAUAGUCGGAUAAUCCAGUGACAAACUCUAUUCGAUAACAUAUUUUGACCAAAGUUUAAUUGUAGUAUAUUAUUGGGCAUCUAUUAACAUUUCAUCGAGAAUGCUUCAAAACCAAAUUAUCAUGUCAUCGAAAUAAACUUAAUAUUUUUUAGAAAAUAAAACCAAGUACAUAAUAGUGUCUUUAAAGUGAUCAUUACAAACAGAAAAAAAAAAACAUGAAUUUCGUUUCAAACUGAUAUUCUUCUUGAUUAAACUCCAGAUCUCCUCUUUUUUCGUUCCUUCUCCUUUCCCUUUAAACACAGACACAAACAAUCCGAUUUAGAUUUUUGUAAAACUAUAUAGCUUUGAACUAACUCAAUAUUAUAUCUAAAUAUGGAUUGUUUCUACAAUAUAGAUUUCAAUGGGCAAUCAAUAACAAACUAUAACGACUCAAUAACAUAGAUUUUAGACAAUUUUUCAUAAUUUAGAUCUAAAUAUAUUUCUGAUCACGUACCCAUUCGGCGGUAUCCAUGUGUCGAAUUUCUGUCUCCACAAAACCGCAACGCAUGCACUUCAACCCUAUCUCCAGAUCUAGAAUCAGGUCGUGUUUUCGUUUUGUGCAACUUGAUUGGGGUGUCUCAUUAGAUGUGUUGCCUUUGUCAUCCUCCAUAAGUUGUAGAAUAUACAGAUUUUAUUAUUCAUUGUGUAAGACAUGAUUAAAACAAACUUUAGUGAAUAGGAUGUAUUACCUGAGGAAUGUUCUGUUUGCCUUUCUGAUUUGAUGCGGUGAAUAAGUGUAUUUGUUCCCAUAAUUCUUCUUGCUCUAUCUCGGAAUCUGUUGGUGAAGGUGGUGAGUUUGGUUCCACGACACCAAAUCUCAUUACCAAUGGUGGGGGAUUGAUGAUCAACAAGCCAUUUUCAUCAAAUUUUUUUUCGUUUGUGUUCGCCAUCUUCUUAUGAAUUCUCUCAGAAACGAUAAUGGUACUUGAAAAAUAUUUUAAAGUUUUUUGAAAAAAAAACCAUCAAGUCAGUAUUUAUAAGGUGUGCAAUAAUAAUCAAUUUUCACGUUUUUCAAUUUUUUUAUGGGGAAGAUUAUGCGACUUUAUGUUUGCAACUAACUGUUUGACUUUCCAAGUUUCCUAUUUCAUAUAAUUUUAAGGAAAAAUGUUCAAUUAGAUACAUAAAGUUAUAACGUAAAAGUCUACAUAAAUGGCAUUUUUUGUUACGAUGUUGUAUGAAUAUGUCAUCUCCUAAAAUAUUGAAACAUAAAAUUGUCCAAAUAACAUAAGCCAUAGAGAGAGAUCAUAUUAUUUUAUGGAAAGUGUUGCAAUUUAGCAAAAGUUUAUAUUUAGUAAAAUAGUAUAUUUAAUUAUUGAGAUUGCGUGUAUAUUUGGUAAAACUUAAAACAUGGAAUAUAUUCUCUUACCAGGCACGUGAAACGAACAAAUCGGUCAAUCAAUAUGGAAGUGCCUUGACAUAAAUUAGUGGAUUGUUGUUGGUUUUGACAGUAAAGUGGCUUUAAAUGGUAACUGUUCAAAUUUUUUCUUUUAAAAUAAUUCAAACGAAAAUAAAUUUCUAAGAAAGAAAGAUAAUUCAGACAAAACCACAUCGGGCAAAGUAAGAUAAUUAUUUUGACAUUAACCCUACUCCCUUAAUAUAGUUUUUUGUGAUACUAUAUUGUUUACAUAUAUGCUUAAAUAUUAAUUUCAGGCUUGGGUGAAGAUAUGAAACGAUGUGCAUGAUUAUGAUUUAGCUAAUGUAAAUUUUCAUUGCAAUAAAUUGUCAUUUAACAUAUAUAGAUGGUUUUAUAGUAAACUAUCUUUAUAAUUGUUAACAACGAGAAUUGGAAUAUUAACAUAAUUUAAAAUAGAAAAAUCUCAAUAUAUAUAUAUAUAUCUAUUUAUUUUACUCGAAGAUAAUAUUGUUUAUUUAUCUAUAUUUAUCCUGAAAUGUUAAUAUUCUUAAAUUUUGGUUAUAUAUUAAUAUAAAAUCACAUUUUUUCUUAUAAAUAUGCUCUAAAUUGCAUAACCCUAAACGAUAGGCAUCACGCAAUGGCGGAUUAUGAUUUUGUUCGUCAAUUGGACUCUCAAAUGUCUGACUGGAUAAUUAUAGUGAAAAUACUCAAAAAAUGGGUGGUGGAUUACUCGGACGAUAAUCGAAGUCUAAAUUUCAUUCUGGUCGAUGAAAAAGUAAAUUUCAUUAACUUAACAUGUUAUUUGUGAUAAUUAUUAUUGAUUUUGCUUAUUGUUUUAACAUACAAUAAUUUGUUCUUUUGUUGAUCUAAUGUUAUCGUAUAAACUUCUAGGGUUGUAGAAUACAGGCUCGGGUAAACAAUCAGAUGAUGGAGCAUUUCAAUCAAAUAUGCGAAGAAGAUCAAUGGUUUAUGUUGACUGGAUUUCUUUUAAAUCCUUACAACUGGACUAAUAUCCAAAGUAUUACAAAACACGAUUACGUUAUUACACUUACACGGGGAACAACGAUAUCACCAGCUUUACCAUUAACAAAUAAUUCGUUCUAUAAUUUUGCAUCGUUCCUCUCGAUUUAUGAAUUCCCAGAUGCUCAUUAUUAUCUAAUUGGUAAGAUUAUUUUGGUAUCUUCUUAUAAUGCAAAAUAUAUAGUUCGCACUAAUGUCUUAAUUUUGACUAAUUACAAUCGCAGAUUUGAUUGGAGUCGUUGAAGAUGCUAGAUAUUUUACUAUUACAUACCCGGAUGGGACGACUACAUCAUCAAUUCGAUUUAAUAUAAUAGAUGAUGAGUAAGUAUAUCCCAAACUGUAAAUUUUUGAAGUUUAGCUAAUUAAUUAUUAACUACAUUCUUUGUCAAAAUAUAGGGAGUACAUGCUAGAGUGUGUUGCACAUGGUGAGUUGGCAACUGAAAUAAGAGAUAAGUGUAGAGAAUACGAAGGUCCCUUUGCUAUAUGUGUGUCAACCGAUUGGUGUGUAGCAAUUGACGGGGGUAUGUUCUCUGAUGAUACAUCAAUAUGUUAUUUAUAAAAUCGUUGUAUAUAACAUAACAAUAUUCCAAUAUAUAUGUUUUAGAGAAUGUGUCUAUCAAGGAUCAUGAUGAUGAUGGUGUGUCCCGUUUUAUCACUGAUUCACCUAUUAAUGAGGUUUUGACCUUGCGCAAUAGGUAAGUAUAUUUCGAUGUGUUGUUUAAAUUGACGUAUGAAAAAAAAAAUGUAUAUUUAGAUCUAAAUCGUUUUGUUAUUGAAAUUUCAGGAUUAGAGAGAGGUUAUAUGGGCUGGAUACAGAUGUGUCUAAUUAUUUGGGCCGAUCCGAAUGAUUCAAAAUCGAUAAUCCAUAUAUAUUAUUAGUUUUGUUAGACACUUUUUUUUUGUAUUUACAAGACUGUUUGGGUUUAGGGUUUAGUGUUAUAACCAAAUUUCUAAUUUUCCUUUAACAAAUAAAUUUUGUUAACCAAUAAUCUAUCUAGAAUAUUCAUCAUAAGUUGCAACUUUCCAAAAAUGGAACAUUUAUCUUUUGAAGAAUACAUAAAAUGAACUGAUUCACGCGACACUUUCCAUAACCGUUAUUUGGGUGUUAUAUAUAUCCCCAUUUUCUCAUAUACAUUGUUAAAAAUAAUCAACAAAGUAACCCUUCUCCCCAACUGUUUCUUUGGCUUUAUACAAAUAUUGUCCAGUAAAAUUAUGUUCCCUAGCUUGAUGUAAUGAUUGUAUACUGAAGAAACUAUUGUAUUUUUUGAUUGUUUUUUACUCGGUAUGCUCGCUUAUCUCGGUUGCGUGUAUGCUUAGUAUAUCAGAUGCAAUUAGAUUUUAUUCUCUCAUAUUGCAUGCUGCUAAUGUCUCGAAAAAGUACAUUAACGGAUGAAAGGACGCCUUUGACAGACAGUUGUUGGCAUUUAAAAUAAAACCUAUAAAUAAGUUAAUCUUUAUUUUAAUAAUACAUAUUCAAUGUUGUAUGUUUCCAUAAAUUUAUUGGGUUGAAAAAGGAAAUAACUGUCUAGAAUGUAACGCGUAUAUAUAUAUGUGUUCUCUUUCCUUAUUUUUUUUUACUUUCCUUUUGUGUUCUUGAUAGAGAAAAAAAAAUGUCUCAUGCUGUUGAUAUCUCUAGGUUAGAUUAUUACACCACCGGCGGUGAAGUUCGUGUGCAAGUUGUUCGACUCUGGAAGAAUGUGAAUUUCUUUGGUGAUACAAUUGAGAUGAUUCUCGCUGAUGAUCGGGUAUUUCGUUAUGUAGUUGUUAUUUCUUUAUAUAUUUCAUAGGGUUGUUUUUUAAAAGCAAUUUUUCUUUUGGAUUUUACACUUGAACUUAUGCGAAAUCGUCGAUCUUAGGGUCAUCGUAUCGGUGCAACUGUCAUGCCCGAUGAAAUCGCUCUGCAUGGACCUGUACUUAAACAAGGUUACUGGUUUAGGGUUCGUCGAUUCGUUGUUAAGAAGGCCAGUGGUUCGAUAUGCAUAACCGUAAACAGGCAUCGGUUUAUUUUCGGACCUCAUACGGUCGUGAUUCCUACCUCUCCAGUAACCCAUAAUUUACACUUGCAUCUCAAUUGCACACGCUUCUUUGACAUCGUGACUCGCGGAUUAGAUUUUGAGUUUUUAAUUGGUAAUAUUGGUAACCAUCUGUUAGUUUUGUGACAAUUUUAGUAUAAUGUAUCGUUUUGUUAAUAUUACUUUUUUUGUAUUCGAUAUGUAGAUGUAAUGGGAACCGUGUUGAAGAUGGGUGAUCUCUGUGAGAUAAACAGCGAUGCUUAUGAGGAUAAUGCAACAUAUGUUCGAUUCGAAAUUCUUAAUGCAGGGUAACAUCUAUGAGUUUAUAUCCACAUGUCGUUUGUUUUUGCAAAAAAAAAAAAAAAAAUGUUUCCUUUUGGUUUUAAGACAUCUAAACUGGAAGAACCUUUUUGUUCUGUUUUAAUCAAUUAGGAGAGAUUGUGUAUUGCCAUGUAUCGCCCGUGGGAAUUUGGCUAAGAAUCUGCAUAGUGUUUAUCAGCGUAAUCAAAGUGAAUCAGUGGUGUUUGUGCUGAGGUUUUGGAAGAUGACUAAUGGUCAAUGUAGGUUUUUAUUCCUUUUUUUAGUAUUUUAGAAUAGCUAAUCUUGCAUUCUUCUAAUUCUGAUUCGUAAAAUUAAUGAUAGGUGUUGAUAACAAGUCGGUUGUCCUAUGCUCUUACCCUCCUUGCUCUGAUUUCCUGUGUAAUCCUGUUGAUGACGAGAUUGACGAUUUCAGGGCUAAGUAAGUAUUAAAUUUAAUUUUUCUUUAUUGACAUAUUGUGUUAGUUGAUUUUUAGAUAUAUUGAUCUAACAUAUCGAUUUUUUUUUUUUGGUAGGCGACACCGUCUUAACUAAUGCACCAGCGAUGGAAUGUCAAUUCCUUAUCUUUCUUUUUAAUGUUUGUAAGACUAUUAUAUUAUGAUACUUAUUAAAUGAUAUCGGUUGUUGUUUAAUCUACUAUUUUGGUUUGACUCUAUGCAUACUGCAUUAUGUCUUAUUUAUAUUAUGAAUGUUAUGAAUGAUUAUGUCUUAUUUAUAUUAUGAAUUUUAUGAAUGAUAUCGUUACAUUAUCUUUAGUGUUUAGAAUAAAUUUGUAUAUCAAUGGUUUUGUAGUGUUUUGUCUUUUUUUGGUGAUGUAUGAUGAUUUGAAAAGUUGAUUUUUAAACUAUAGUCUACUCAAAGGGCUAAGUAUUCAUUGCGCUUUUGAAAAUAUAGCUGACAAGUUUCUGAUAGUUUUGAAUAGAUGGAUAUCUAUAGUUUUUUUAUUCUUAAUAAUGUUCUGAUUUGAUUCUAAAUCUGUUUGAUGUAAACGAUUUAUUAUGUUACAUUUAAAUUAUAUAUCAUCUGAGCCCAAAAUUUGUAUACAUCUUUUGGGCCAAAAAAUUUCUGUUGUAACCAAAAUUCGACCCUUCCUUUAACAAAUAUAUUGUGAUGGUCUUGGAUGGUCAAAAGGUUAGUCCUAUAAUUUAUGAAUAUCUCGGUUAUUGCCCUGAUCUAUUAAAUUUAUUAGUGAUUAAUAAUGUUUUCAAUAUCAAUCAUAUUGUUAAUGUGUUACCUUAAUAUUUUCUAAUUUUAUUACGUAUAAUAAUUCUUUCAUCUAAUUAAAGAGUUUUAAAAUUCAAAAUAACGAGAAAAAAGUCAAAUAGAAUUGUCAAACAAAAUAAAUGAAAACAUCAAAUGAAAUUGGUAGAUUCAAUGGCUAGGGAAAAUAGGUGAGUGAUCAAAAAAGUAGCCAUCUUCAAUGUUGUUAAAAUCAUCAGUGUAGUCAAGCCUGCAAGAACAAGAUAAAUAAUGAGUCGAAUAUUCAAUAAUUUUGUUUAGUAAAUUUACAAGAUGAUAACGGUGAACAAUGCUUACAUAAAAUGAGAAUUUUCGACUUCAGGAAUUGGAGGAUCGAACAAUAUUUCAGAGAAUUCUCGACCAGAACAAACACAUAUUUCAUCUGUACAAUAUAGAAAAUUAUAUUAGCUACAAUUGAUAUGAAUAUAAAUUGAUAUAUGGUUGGUCGAUAGAAUGAGAAAUAACCUCCAUAUCGACACAACUCCCAAAAUCUCAAUACACAGAAAACGAUUUUGCGACGAGGAGUAUUUUUCCAUAAGGACUCAAAAUGUUCAGCAUCUCUUCCCCACGCUAUGCAAUUGAUGUCGACACCCCUAAAAAACAGAAUUAAUAUAUCAUUUUCUUUAACAUCGAGAAUAUGAUAGUAAAGAUUUAUAUAUGUAUUAAUCUUUGUAUCAAUGGAUUCUUACUCAAAAUCUCUUAUUGUAAAUUUCAGAACACUUGAGUUGAUUCUCUGAUUUCCGAUGCAAAAUUGGUCUUGACGUUCCAAUUGACAAACUUUGAUAAUACCUCCGAUCAAAUCAACUAGCAUAAAGCAAUAUAUUCGUAUAAUUAAGUAGAGUAUUGAUUAAUCUAAUUGAGUAUAAUUAAAUACUAAGAAAACAUACCAACGUCUAUGUUUUCCAUCAGAGAUUCGUCAAGGACAUUUCUAAAAUUAGCAAAUGAAUACAACUGGUCAUCUGAUUUAGGCGAUGUCUUCUCAACAUGAGUAUCCUCAUCGAUACAGAUAUGGAGACCAUUGACUGUAAUCCUCGAAGUUCCUAUGUGUGGAGUAAUUUUGAAGUUACAAAUGAAAUACCAAUCUUUAUCACACAUCAUGCCUUCAUAAUGGUCUACUAAACGAUUCGGAAUCGAUGCACGUAUUCGAUCACCCUAGAUUUUCAGUUAAAAAAUAAUGAUGUUAUUGAUAAUAUAUCAAGAUUCAGACAGUAAUAUAUUAAGAUUCAGACAGUAUGUUAUUUUUGAAGUUAUACUUACAUGUUCGUCUGCGAAUAUAAACGAUCGCUGAAUACCGUGAACACCUAGGCUUUCCUCGACACUCUUGAUAACUUGAACACAGAUAGAAGAUCGAUCAGAUGCUAUACCUAAAGCAGAAAUCAUCGUGCAAGGAGACAUUUUUUUCAAAGAUAGAUGCAGUUAUUCUUAACAAUGAAUAAAAUCUGAUUAUGAGUAACAAAUGGGUACUACUUUAAAUUGAAAACCACCGUUACGACAACCAAUAGUAGUGUUUGCAAUGUUUUGAAAAAUAACGGUCAUAUUUACCACCGCUAAUUUAGUUGACUAUAUAUGUCAUGUUUUGUUAUAAUUAUAAUAUAAUAAUUAUGAAAAUCAAAAAUAGAAAGAACCUCAUAAGAAUCAUUACUAGGUGAUAAAAUGACAUAUAAUUGUGAUGAUUAAUAAUAUUUAUUUUAUUGUGACAAUAAUUGUGAUACUAGCUUUUUUAGAGGCUUAGACAUAGAAAUUUUUUUUUUAAAGGAAUAUUUAUAAGAUAUUAUUUCGUUUGUUAUAUAAAGUACAAAUCUUUCUAUAUUUGGUUAUUAUUAAUGGUAUAAUUUCAUUUUAUUAUUGUAAAUAAGUGUUGUUCAUCUUAAAAAAUGAUAUAUACCGAAAUUUGGCAAAAAAUAUUAUACAAUUUAACUAUUAUUCAUAAACUCAAAUAUAAAAAUAUUACACGAUUUCUUAAAUAUAUAAACUCGUGUCUGGCAAGAAUUGAAAAUAAAAAUCUGAUGUUUCAAUAAUCAAAUUAUAAUAAGGUUUAUAUAAUGAUUGUGUCCGCGCGACGCGGGCAGAUACCUAGUUAAUAUUGGAUUCCAACACUAUGAAACUAUGUUCAAGACCGGUGAAUAAUUGAGCGUUGAGGGCCUUGAGGCUGGUGCCUGUAAUUUGAACCGUAAAAUACAGGUUCGAAUACAACGAUUUAAUUAGGAUUAGUGUCUUGUUGAAAAAGACUAUGGAAUGUAAAAUUCAAAGCCAUUAGAUUAAAAUCAUGCUCUUUAAAAUAAAAAAUUCAUAAAAACUAGGGAAAGUUUUAUAAAAAGAGCAACGUUCAUAUGUUGAAAAGCAAACUUUUGAAUGAAUAAUGACUAUAGCAGCGGGAUACACUAGAUUUACAAGAUUUAAUUGCCUGGGAUAUGGGAGAAUUUGGAAUUAAAGAUUUACAAAAAUUUAAUUUUAACCUUCUAAUAAACAGCUAUAGCGAUGGAAAGAGAGAAUAUUUUCACUAAGCAAAAAAAAAAAAAAAAAAAAAAACUGAUGUGUUUUAGGUGAAAUGCAUUGUACUAGUGACGAAGGAAUAUAUGAUUUGCUCUAUUUAAGUCUUUUUUGGUUAUAAUUUCCACCACUUUACCAAAGACGUUCACUUUAGAUGCAUCUAACAAAACUAAUUGAUUAGUUUCCCUUUCGAAAUAUUAUAAUCAUUUUUUGUUGAAUAAUUUCAAAUUCCCACCGAAAGUCCUUCACUUUUAAUUAUGAACACCACAUAUUUGAUAAAAACAAAUUACUUUUCAUCAUAAUAACCUUGAAAAAAGCGGUGUGGUUUGAUUAAACUUGAACCGCAUGUUCCAUAGACUGAAAAAUAGUAUUUUACACCUUAAAAGCAUAACCUAUCUAGCUGGUAAACUUCGUCCGCCCAUUCAAGGUCAGUUUCAUGUUCUCGAUGAACCAUUGUUCUCAAAAACUCGCCAACUCGUGCGACACUUACAGCAUUUAAGGGAAGCUUUCUCAGUCAGGAAUGAAGCUAGGAGAAGAAGGAAUCAAGUUAAAGGAAAGACAAGAACCGGAACAAAAGUCUUAGUGUGGCAAAGAUGUAGGACCGCGAAAAUCCGAUUGAAAUCACGAAUAGAAAAUAGCAAUAUUAUAAACGAUAUGUUAAAGUAAGAGAUUAAAACGAGAGUUUGAAAACCGAUUGAAAACAGACGAACACAUGGAGUCGAGAUAUGAUCUCUUUCCUUAACUCAAUAAAUCGCCCGUAAUGUGUGACGGUUUGUUGCGAUUUUUGAAUCCCAGGAUACAACCGUGAUGAGACUAUUACGCAACACCCGUAAUAGAAUCUACGAACUGAGAUUAUACUACGCUAUAGCUCUCGAGACACUUACGAUAUUAAGAUGAGAGGGAUUUGCUAGAAAGAAUUAUUUGCUGUGUGUUUGGUGUAUUCGAGAAUUCGAUUUUUCAUUCGAUGAUCUAGAAUGAGAGAAGAGGGCGUCUAUUUAUACUGGAAGGUUCAGCUUGAUCCGCAAGGAAUAAGCUUUGGCAAAAGGAAUAUUCACGAGAUAUUCUCCUUUUUCCGCAAGUAAAAAGAUUCGGAAAUCUUCCGUUAUUAUCUGGACGCAAUCUUUUAUUUCCUAAGAUUUAUCCUUUCAAUAUGCAAAAAAUUAUUUCGCAGGAACUAAGAAGCCCACGACCCACAUCCAGCUAUGUAGAGCCCAAGAGCCCUAAGAGCCAACUAAAAAAAUGCAACAAGCAACGAGCAACGAGCAACGAGCCUGAGCCCGGCACCGGCACCGGUGACGGCGACGGCGAUGGCGACGGCGAUGGCGGUGGCGCGCAUAGGUGUUUUGCAUAAUGCCCUUUUACUUCCACAAUGCUGUGUAUGCUUAUUAAUAUUGGGUUCCAACAAUCCCCCACAUGAAUAGAAAUGACUCUAUACAUAUGCAGACUCGAUAGACUAUGCAGACUAGACUCAAACUACACUACAGAUUCGACAGACGGACUUUUCGAGAGUAUAAGCGAAAACUAACUGUGUCUGAGGAAGUAGCGUUUUUCAGCCUUGAACCACUCAUUUUUAAUAUCUGUCGGAUUUACUCUCCAGGAAGUGAACAUGAUGUCUUGAACCACCCAGAUUUUGGUGUAAACCAAAUCAACAGAUACAACUCAGCUUCGUCUUCUCGUAGCAUUCAGUUCUCUAUUGUGUUCAUUGUGGCUUUGAACGUGCCUGGUUUAUCAUGAGUGAACUUGGAGAGUAUAGCCUUGUCUUCGUUCUCCUAGAAACGGCCUCAUUUCACACUCACUAAGUGAUUGCCAAGUACCUAUCACAUACUCAGAAAGUAUCAUGUUAUACUCUAUAUACAUGUAUAUGAAGGCUAUGGUCUUAUCUCAUUAAAAGCCAUAAAGCUUAACCUUACAUAAUUACAGGAAACACUGUUUAUCAUCAUGGAAAUUGAGCAUUUUACAGUGCUUUUCUCAGAUUAUGCUUGAUUUAGUUGUCCCUUUGAACCAACCUCUUGGGAUCUCCAAUCGCGUAGGUGGGAUUUCCAUCAAACAUCCUCUUUCGUGAUAGGCAAUAAGCUCAUUCCUUUAGAUGAUUCAAUGAUUUGAUCUCGCGGCAAGCUUUUGGUAAACGGAUCCGCUAAAUUUUCCGCUGACUUGAUGUAAUCAACUGUGAGUACACCACUUAAGAUCAGAUGCCUAAUCGUCUUAUGUCGUCUUCGUAUGUGACGAGACUUGCCAUUAUACAGAUUAUUCAGUGCCCGAGAGAUAGCCGACUGACUACCACAGUGUACACGUAAUGCUGGCACUGGUUUUUCCCACAUCGGGAUAUCUUCCAGGAAGUUCCGAAGCCACUCUGCUUCUUCGGCUGCUUUGUCUAAAGCUAUGAACUCUGACUCCAUGGUUUAUCGGGCCAGGAGUGCCUGUUUGGAAGAUUUCCAGGAUACUGCUGCUCCAGCGAGUGUAAAGACAUAUCCACUUGUGGAUUUGGCAUUUCUAGAAUCUGAAAUCCAAUUGGCAUCAUUGUACCGUUAUAACUGAUAACACCGGAUUUUGACCAUUUUUAUGGAUCAUUUUAAUAUCUUUUACAGGUGUUUUUACUCCAUUUUCAAAGGUUUUCAAAGGAUUUCUAUGUUUCCGGAUUUUAAAAGACUUUUCAGGUAAUUUGGGAUAAAGAGGUACAAAAUGGAACAAAUGAACUCUUUUGGAUAAAUGCAGACCGUCAGAACUCUCAUGGAGAGACGAAGACCUUCUCACCGUCUGAUCACCCUCAAAAUUGGACAACUUAUAGAAGAAUCAACCAGCUUUCAAUUGCACUUGGUUUGGAGACAUUCCAACGGUUGGAUCGCAAGAUAUUUCAUUAGCCCCGGAGCCACUCGAAGUCGGCCAGCAGCUCACGCGACCGCGGCCAACAAGCUAUUUGCCGCGGUCAGAAGCUUCCCGAUCGCGGCCAACAAGCCAAUUGCCGCGGUCACAACACUCCCGACCGUGGCAUUCAAGCUCCGACUUAAAGCCCACUUAUCUGAAGCCCAAGUCAUUCCCAGCCUCAAUUCCGGAACCCUAGAGACCAUGGAGUAUUGGAGACUAUAAAUACAUGUCAUUUAGGUCGUUUUUAGAGAGAACCCUUCAUACUUUACAGAAACCAUUUUUCUUUAGCCGUUUUUAUGAGAUUUUUGUAGAAGAUUGUUCAAGUCCGAGUUCUUCAAUAGAGAAGCUUUCUUUAUCUCUUUUCUUUACUGUUUUUCAUUAGUUUUAUUAAAAUCAAUGAUGAUGUCGAACUCAGCCAUGUCUGAGUAGAUCCUGACUUGGGCUUAGGGUUCCCGAAAGGGGCUCUCAUAAUCGAUUAAGACAUCUAGGUUUAUAGAUCUGGGAUUUCGACUUGUUCUCUGUUUAAUCUUGUUCUUAUUGCAUGUAUGCUUGAUUGAUCACCUAGUAUCUGAUCUAGAUAGUUAGUGUUGCGAAAGUUUUCAUUAAGUAUCAGCCCUAGAAUGAAACAGGCGAUUUUUCCGUAGGAGUGGAAACCUACCUGCGGCGAGAUCGUGAGUAUUGACGAGUCUUGUGCAGUUCUUGCGUUCUCUCCCUUCCAGGGCCAGAGUGGAAAAACCUACUGGUCAGGGUUGUGAGAAACAGUUGGUUAUGAUCACGACAGUGACGUAGUCAUACCGCCGUACUCUAGCUCUAGAACCCAUAUAUUGUUAUCUGUCAAUCCCAAUUUAUCUACCUUAGUGUUAAAACCGAUUAUGAUCCCUUAGAGUUCCCAAAAGCUCAGCGUUUUUAGCCAUAGUUUACAAUUUCAAUCGAUUUUUACUUGCUUUCUUAGACCUGCAUUUCAAUUUCCUUAGUUCGUUAUUUACUUGCUUUAUUUACUUUUCAUGCGAUAUUUUACUUGCCUUAUUUUUGGUUAGUUCGAUAUUUUACUUAUUCCAUUUGCAUUCCAUUCGAUUUUCUUUACUUGCUUUUCAGGAUAGAUUUAUUUGCUUUCUUUUGUUUUAGUUUAAUUCGCAAGAAAAACAACCAACCUUUAAAACCAAUUUAGUCUAGACAUAAAGUUAAAAACGGUAGAAGAAUACCAGGCACACAAAUCUCUGUGGAUUCGAUCCCUAAAUACUACAACUGAUUAGCUGUGCACUUGCGGCUUUUAUUUGUUUUGUUAAGGGUAAAAAUUGUUCCCUCACGUAGUUGACACGAGCGAGCACGCAUCAAGUUUUUGGCGCCGUUGCCGGGGAUUUGUUUCGCUGCCUUUUGCUAUUUUUCAUGUUUUAACUUCUGUUCUAGACACCUGAUCUCUAGUUCUUUCUUAAAGUUUUUCUGAACUAUCUUUCCCUUCUUUUGUCUUUCUCUGAAUUGCAUGAAUACCAGGCGUAGACCUGCAGGAGACAUUCCAAUUCUAGACGAGAUAGACAGACACGAAAGAGAACUUCGAAAACUUAGACGAACGCAAGAAAUGACCAACGACGACCAGCCUGGAGAUCCUAUUAAUCGAAAUUUAAAUAUGGACCAAGACGGGUCCGAACAUGGAGAAAAAGAAGAGAAUGAUCACACAGAAGGUGAUCAUGCUCGACAAGAUGGAGAGGAGGAUGAGGUUCUUCCAAGAAACCACCAGAACCGAGAGAGAGAAGGACGUGAAGACUUUGAUCCACCCAUCAAUGCAGCCGAUGGUGACCACCCAGCAAUGCAGCCGAAUGAACGCAUUCACCGCCCCAUUCCGCCAGCAAAUCAACACCGAAGACAAGCCAGAAACCAUCGCAUAGCUGAUUUUGAUGCACCUACUCAAAAUUUUCAGAAUCGAUCUGCGAUUCAAGUACCAUUUCCAAACCGGAAUGAGUUUGAAGUCAAGCCUCAAAUCAUCUCAUUGGUGAAGCAAAAACAGUUCCAUGGAGUUCCUUCUGAGAACCCAAUGGACCAUAUCGAGCUUUUUGAAGAAAUUUGCAGCAUGAUGAGAACAAACCAAGUUCCACCUGACUAUUUAAAGUGUAAGUUGUUCCUUUUUUCAUUAGCAGAUAAAGCUCACCGUUGGUUGAAGUCUUUGCCUGCAGGAUCGAUUACUAAUUGGGAAGAAUGUAGAACUGCUUUCCUGAACCACUUCUACACUAAGUCAAGGUUGAACAAUUUGAGAACGAAGAUCUCGACCUUUCAACAAGGGCCAACUGAAUCUUUCUAUGAAGCUUGGGAACGUUUUAAGGAGUAUGAACGUGAUUUCCCUCAUCAUGGAUUUCAUGGAUCAAGCCUGCUGAGCACAUUUUACCGAGGUUUGCAACCAAAAUACAAACUUUCACUUGAUACAGCUAGCAAUGGAGAUUUUGGGCAAAAGACGAUAACCCAAGGAAGAGCCCUUAUCGAAAAUUUGGCUCAAGCCAAUAACAAUGACUGUCCUGAAUACGAUCGAUCGAUGAAGCAAGCCGGAACAGACAACAAGGAGAUAACCGAGUUGAAGAACAUGGUGAGCCAACUUCUGAAGAGCAACAAUCGCCCGAUCCAUGCCUGUGAAACCAACAAUGGCGCAGAAGAGGAAGGACCUAGUGAUAUCGAUCACAUUAAUCAAGCAUUUCAAGAAGAAGAUGUGAACUACGUAGGAGCACUGGUGCCAUACCAAAAUCGCUCCAACAACAACUUCAACAACAACUUCCGGAAUGUAAAUUACAACAAUCUCUCUUACCGUAAUCCAAAUGUGGAGAACCCUCAAGAUCAGUACUACCCACCUCAGCAAAAAUCAUUCCAAAACAAGUUUCAAGUUGGAAACUUUGGAGGAAUAGUACCAUAUCAACCGCGACAGCCAUAUAACUACCAAGGUACGGGUUUUAACAAUCAAUUUGUACAACAGCAGGGAGUCACGACGAACCAGCUAGCUUCACAAAUCGGUAGACUUGAACAGUCAAUCCAACAGCUUGUUAUGACGAACGAAAAAGCAUCUAAAGACGUGAACGUGAAAGUGGACUGCAUGUACAAUGAUCUGAAUGGUAAGUUUGAAUCUUUAUCUUCGCACGUAAAAAAGUUAGAUGUGCAAGUCGCCCAAACAGCCGACUCUAUGAAGAGGCAAAGUGGAGUUCUUCCAGGAAGAGUUGAAGAUAACCCUAAGAAGUUUUGCAACGCCAUAACCACAAUGCCCGAAGAAGAGUCCAGAACCAAUGGAAAGAAAGAAGAAACCCCAAUCUUUGUACCACUGUACAAGGAUAUCGAUCCCAAGCAGCCACCGUUUAAGAUACCCGAACGAUCACCGUUUCAAAGGCUUACCAAAGCCGAACAUCCGGGACGUUUUGUUUUCCAAUGUUUCAUUUCAGGAAUCAAGUUUACAGAUUGUUUGUGCGAUUCCGGAGCCAAUGUCAACAUCAUGUCUAAGACAUUUGCCGAAAAUUGGGCAUAAAAACCUUAAGGACAUCGACGGUUAAGGUUAUCUUUGGAGAUUCAUCUCAAAAAGAUACUGAAUGGGCGAUUCAUGAUCUACAAGUUCUAGUGGAAGAUAAGAUCGUUCCAGCAGAUUUCCAAGUCCUGGAGAUGGAUAAAGACAAGGAGAGGCCACUCAUUUUCGGGAGACCAUUCCUAGUUACAGUAGGAGUAAUAAUCGAUCACGCAAAUCGGCAUGCUGUUUUCCUCAAUGUGGACAGAAGAAGGUACUAUCUUAGAUGAAUUUCCAAGUAAAGGAAACAGGCCAAAAGAGAAAGAAAAGGAGAAGCCGAAAGCUUUUGCAAAGAUCAAGAUCAUCAUUCCACCGGACGCAACAGAAACUAGUGAGGACCAAAUCCAGGAGCUGAUCGAAAACACAAAAAGGGUUCUGAACAACAUUAAAGUCCGAAAGAAGAGUAAAGGUAAGAAGACUUCUCUUCAAGGAGAAGAAGUAAAACCUCCACCAACCGGAAGUGAUAAGGGCACAUCAAGUGGAGUGCCAUUCAAAUCAGCCUGAUUCCUCAUGCUUACGUCGAGCUAAACGACUUAAAACAAAAGCGCUUAAUGGGAGGCAACCCAUUUAGGUACUCUUUCUUUUAGUUUUCUUUUCCUUUUUAGAAUUUAUGCUUUCUUUUGCUUUUUAAGUUUUAGGUAUUUUAUAAAACAAAAACACAAAAAAAUCAGAAAUUUAGAAAAACCAAGAAGAAAAAGGUAGGUCUUUAGCUGCUCGGCCCGGCAAAGACGAGAAGAUUAGGCAAUAGGCCGCAGGAGGAAGACCCGCGGUCGCAACUGACGGAACCGAGGCCAAAGGUGCAUUGACCGCGGCACCGUGAAUGUGACCGCGGCCGAGCACUCGACCACCGCAGUCGCGCGUCUCCUGACCACGGCCGUUGGUCGUUGAGGUGAUUCCGCGGAUUUUUGCCGCUUCCCGGUGUUGCCUGGUGUUUGCCUGGUGAUUCCUGGUGUUGCCUGGUGUUGCAUGGUGAUUUCCCGGUGUUGCCUGGUGUUUACCUGGUGAUUCCCGGUCUUGCCUGGUGAUUCCCGGUGUUUCCCAAAAUGUUCCCGGUAAAACCCGAAAAGAUCCUCCGUAAGUUUUAAACUUUCCUAAUGUGCAAACAAGAAAAGGUAAGUUCCCGUAAACUUAAAAAUUUCCAGAAAAUUUCCGUUUUUGCUUCAAAAACGCUUUUUAAAGAAAAAAAACAAACUUUUUGGAUCAAAACUCUUUCUUAUCUUCUCUUCCAAAAGACUUAGAGAUUUAGGAGAAAAAACACAUUUUUCAAUUCUUAAGCUUUUUAAGAGAUUUUUGGCUCAAACCUCACUCUUUUUCAAAGCUGAUUUCAAUUCUACCAUCAAUUCUCUCUUUCCAGCAAGGUAUGAACCUCAAACUCACCAUUCUUACUCGAUUUUGAACUUAGGGUUUUCUUUAAAAACCCAAAAUUUUGGUCUAUUGAUGGUGGAAAUAGCUUAAGAAUGAUAGAUUAUCCAUUUAGGUUAUCUAAAAAUCGAUUUUAGCACCUAGCUUAAGAGGAAUUGAGAUUUUUGAAAUUUGGAUUCUACAUGCUUAAUAAAAAUCGAAUUUGGAACAGCAAAAUUGAUGAAUUUGAUUUAGUCUUGUGUGAUUAGUGAUUAGUAUUGGGUAAUCUUUAGAAUUCACAUGGAAAUUGCUCAUAAAAACCGAUUUUUAGAAGAUUUCUAUGUUGAGAACAUCAAAAAUCUGAAUUUAGUCAUGAAUUACUUGAUUUCUCUGAUUUAAUAUCAAUUUUGUUUGCUAAUAGUUUUAAUUAUUCUCUUUAUACUAGUAUUAGUAUAACAGAUCUUAAUGUGUUAUAAUUAGCAUCCAAAUUCACUCUUUUUCCAAGAAUCAUUUCAUUUUGCAGAAAAUGGAUGAAACCAGAUCCCGAAGGAGCCGUCGAACUGGUGGCAGCUCCGAUGACAUUCCCGACGAUGCUACUCUAGGAGAGUACAUGCUGAACCAAGCCAGACCGAGAAGAAGAUACUCUGUGAUGAGAUUGCUCCAGCACUCGAGGGAAACACGAGCACCUCCCGAGCCACCACAGAUUCGAUACAUUGGGAGGGAGACAAACCCGAGAGUGGACUAUGCAAGGCGUUUCAAGAAGUUGAACAUCAAACCCACGCCUUGCAUUGAUUAUCAUACACUCGAGAUGCUUGGAAUCAGAGAGGAUGUGAUCUGGUACAUCGAUGCACUUAAGCUGAGACCCUACUUGGAGCUGAACCUUCCGACUUAUCCUGAGCUAGUCCGUGAGCUUUUAGCGACCGUUGCACUCCACCACACGAAGAGGAGGAACCCCAGAGCAUCAGAUGGCAUUUUGUCAUUCUCUAUCCGCGGACAGCCUUAUUCUCUCACCAUUUCCGAGGUUUGUGAAGCUCUUAAGCUUCCAUACACUGAUGGCAUUUAUCUUGAAGAUGAACCUGAUCUUAACCUGUGGAGAGAGAUGGGUCAUGGAGCCUACGAUAGUGGGAGAUCUAAGUCAGCCCUUCUUAGCCACCCAGCAGUGAGAGUUGUGCACAAACUCUUAGCACACAUGAUCUUCUCUAGAGCCAACAUGGGAGGUGUUUUGAAGACUGAGCUCAUUACACUUCAGAUCCCAUUUAUGGACGACCCACGACUUGCCUGCUUUGCAUGGAUCAUAUCGCAGAAUAUGGUAAAGGUGAAGCAUGAUUUACAUGGUUGCGAUGACGCUACUCCAGCUUUCGGGAGUGCUAUUACAGCGAUACUACAGACUGUAGGAUUCGAUUUCUCAUCUGACGAACCACUUCCCGAUAUCUGGUAUGAUCUAGUUUACCUCUCUCGCGAUCACACUAUCUCUCGUGCCGCUUUCGAUCCAGACAGGUUUGGUUACAAAUAUUGAACUGGCACCGAGGAGCACCGAGUCCGCUUACCUUCAGCGUCUAUCCCGAGAUUGUGCAACGGAGGACGUCCUCGAUGGACUCCGGAAUCCGAUGAUUUUCUGCCAUCUGUACCUCGUCUACCAUUCACCAUUGGCCAGUACAUAGUGGCCAAGGCGAAGCGUGAUGCAGCUGCGGCCCGUGCUCAUUUUCAGCCAUCAAUUCCGACCGGCCACACCUCAUCAUCUACAUCAUCACACACACAUUCCGAUCUGGAGCGCAGAGUUGAGAGACAGGGACGACGCUUUGAGCGCGUUGUCACCUUCUUACAGGAGCACCACCAGUUCGCAGACGACACUUUGGAGGAUGAGUGACUGAUCAGCACUUUACUACCAUCACGGUUCUAUCAUCAUUUUCUUUUCUUUUAUCUUACUUUAUUUCGCUUUUAUUCACCAACUUUUUCACAUUGGAGACAGUGUGAUUUAAGUCUGGGGGAGGAUGUCUAUCUGUACUAAUCAUUUUCCUGCUUUGCUUUUAAAUUUCAAAUACUUUUUAAAAUUUAAUAUGUAACCUAUUCGACAUUAAGUAUUUUUCAGGAAUGUUUGACGCAAAACUAUGAUGAUUUAGACCUGCACACUUCUACACUAUGCAUGAUAGCUCAUUUGUGGUUAGCACUACAUUAGGCGGUAGCUAGAGUACUUGCACUACGAACUCCCACCAGAGGACUUCUAUUCAUGGAGAUUCUUUCUGACAGGAUAUACUAGCUCAUUUUAUUUGGACUUAAUAUUGAUAUCUAAUUUUCUCAUCAUUGAUUUUAGGCAGGCAUCGACAUACACAUCUAGGACGUCUUUUACCCUCACUUUUACCACUCUUUGUCGUCCUAGAUGACCAGUUUAUCUUUAUCUGGUACCAUACCCUAAACCCAAAACCUUUGUUUUCAAUCCUCAUGCACUCUCUCUUUAGUUUAUAUCAGCAGAUAUGUGCAAAAACGUCGGAGAGAAGAGGAGCGACACAGUUUUCAGUCACUCGCAAAAGAGACUGAAUGGAAUUGGGAAGGAAGAGUAUCAGAAACAUAAUAAAGCUUUACAAGACAGAUAUUAACUGGUAAAUUCGUGCUCUCUAAGACUCUAUAUCUAAAGGUGUUACCUAUCUCUAAAAAAAAAAAAAAAAAAAACGUGAAAAGAGAAAGGCAAACAAAAAGCCUAAUGAGUCUUAGAUUGUCGAAAUUUGUGGAGCAAUGAGCAACCACUAUUCGUUUAAGGAGCUAUUGUUUUGAAAGAUUUACAAAAAUCUAAGUCUGGGGGAGUUUGGAGAGAACUUGAGUAAGAAGACCAUGAAUCUAUGUCAAGAAGAAAGUGACUGAAAACUGUGGAUACCAACAGCUUCACUCUCUCUUGCGGUUUUGCAUAAUGUCCUGCAUCCUCCAGAUCUUCAGGUAACCCUUAAACACUUUAAGCCAUACCCCCAAAAUAAUCCUUCUUUACACCUAGCCUAGAUUGCCUUGCCUAGAUUUUCUUUGAUGAGAACCACCGAGAUUUUUAAUGAAUGUUAAGAGCUAGUUGACUGGAAGUUAGAUUUUAGUGCAUAGAUUUCUGCAUGACGGAUUAACGGACUAGUUAUGCCUGUAUUGCUAGUGAGAAUUUUCUAGGCUAUUCCCGAUUGACGCUUACUGAUUAAUAUUGGUCUAGAAGUUUGGUCUCUGAGAUUUUGUUUAGUUCCUGCGUUUUCAAACCUCUCACUGAGAUUUAGCCUUUGUUUUGUUUGAGGACAAACAAAAGACUAAGUCUGGGGGAGUUGAUAACACCGGAUUUUGACCAUUUUUAUGGAUCAUUUUAAUAUCUUUUACAGGUGUUUUUACUCCAUUUUCAAAGGUUUUCAAAGGAUUUCUAUGUUUCCGGAUUUUAAAAGACUUUUCAGGUAAUUUGGGAUAAAGAGGCACAAAAUGGAACAAAUGAACUCUUUUGGAUAAAUGCAGACCGUCAGAACUCUCAUGGAGAGACGAAGACCUUCUCACCGUCUGAUCACCCUUAAAAUUGGACAACUUAUAGAAGAAUCAACCAGCUUUCAAUUGCACUUGGUUUGGAGACAUUCCAACGGUUGGAUCGCAAGAUAUUUCAUUAGCCCCGGAGCCACUCGAAGUCGGCCAGCAGCUCACGCGACCGCGGCCAACAAGCUAUUUGCCGCGGUCAGAAGCUUCCCGAUCGCGGCCAACAAGCCAAUUGCCGCGGUCACAACACUCCCGACCGCGGCAUUCAAGCUCCGACUUAAAGCCCACUUAUCUGAAGCCCAAGUCAUUCCCAGCCUCAAUUCCGGAACCCUAGAGACCAUGGAGUAUUGGAGACUAUAAAUACAUGUCAUUUAGGUCGUUUUUAGAGAGAACCCUUCAUACUUUACAGAAACCCUUUUCCUUUAGCCGUUUUUAUGAGAUUUUUGUAGAAGAUUGUUCAAGUCCGAGUUCUUCAAUAGAGAAUCUUUCUUUAUCUCUUUUCUUUAUUGUUUUUCAUUACUUUUAUUAAAACCAAUGAUGAUGUCGAACUCAGCCAUGUCUGAGUAGAUCCCGAGUUGGGCUUAGGGUUCCCGAAAGGGGCUCUCAUAAUCGAUUAAGACAUCUAGGUUUAUAGAUCUGUUAUUUCGACCGGUUCUCUGUUUAUUCUUGUUCUUAUUGCAUGUAUGCUUGAUUUAUCACCUAGUAUCUGAUCUAGAUAGUUAGUGUUGCGAAAGUUUUCAUUAAGUAUCAGCCCUAGAAUGAAACAGGCGAUUUUUCCGUAGGAGUGGAAACCUACCUGCGGCGAGAUCGUGAGUAUUGACAAGUCUUGUGCAGCUCUUGCGUUCUCUCUAUUCCAGGGCCAGAGUGGAAACCUACUGGUCACGGUUGCGAGAAACAGUUGGUUAUGAUCACGACAGUGACGUAGUCAUACCGCCGUACUCUAGCUCUAGAACCCAUAUAUUGUUAUCUGUCAAUCCCAAUCUAUCUACCUUAGUGUUCAAACCGAUUAUGAUCCCUUAGAGUUCCCAAAAGCUCAGCGUUUUUAGCCAUAGUGUACUAUUUCAAUCGAUUUUUACUUGCUUUCUUAGACCUGCAUUUCAAUUUCCUUAGUUCGUUAUUUACUUGCUUUAUUUACUUUUCAUGCGAUAUUUUACUUGCCUUAUUUUUGGUUAGUUCGAUAUUUUACUUAUUCCAUUUGCAUUCCAUUCGAUUUUCUUUACUUGCUUUUUAUGAUAGAUUUAUUUGCUUUCUUUUGUUUUAGUUUAAUUCGCAAGAAAAACAACCAACCUUUAAAACCAAUUUAGUCUAGACAUAAAGUUAAAAACGGUAGAAGAAUACCAGGUGAUAUGUCAUGGUUUUUAUGGUUUUUAACCAUGGUAUAAGUCCUAUUUAUAGAGUCUGUUUAGUGUCUUUCGAGUCUUUUGGAGUCUUUUCAGGUCAUAGGUACGUUUGGAGCUUAACUGGAGACUUUGGAGCACUUUGGAGCUUAAUCAGGAUCAAUUUCGUCAAGAAUGGAUUUUGUGCUUUGGUGACGCUCGACACCAUGGAGAGUGACGCGCGACACUUGUUAGAGAAAUAAGGAAAAGGCGAUUUUGUUUCCUAUUUGAAGAAGGAGUUGGGCCCAAACGAUUUCGAGGAAGCCCAAGACGUGUCUUAGAGAUAUAUAUAGGAUUUUUUAUUCCCUUUUUACGUUCACUUUUAGAUUUUGAGAGAGAGAUACUCUGAGUUUUCGGCUUUUGCGAUUUCUGAGCUUGGGGAGACAAGUCUGUACUCUGUUCGUUUAGAGAGAAGAUUUCGAACCCCUUUAUCUAUUUCGAUUUAAUCUAUUGCUUUCUAUUCAUCAUGCUUGUUGUUUCAAUAACCAUGUCUGAGUAGAUCACCUGUUAGGUUUAGGGUUAAUUAGGGUUUUCUCUGAAUGUUUGAUUAACUUGCUAGUUAGGGUUCAUAUCUAUUUGUUCUUCACCUUAGGUUGUUCUUAAAGCUAAUUCUGGACUGAUCACCUAGAAUUUAGAUCUUAGGUUGCUUAAUUGACACGGAAGUGUAAUUGAAUAACUGGAAAGAACCUGAGUUGAGCAAAGUAGCUAUUCGCAAAGGAAUUUGGUUUAGCCGCUUUGUGAACAUAUCGAACUUGUGCAAUUAAGGCUGGUUUAAAUCUGUAGGAUUUACAAAGGAAUUUGGAAUUCUAGGAUUUUAACUUAGAUAAUUCUCACAACGGAAGUUGGUUAAUUAUAAUUCUGUGUUUCGAGUUCAAGAACCGUGCUUAAUACCUGAACCCUGACUUGUUAAGUUGAUUUGCAUUCAUUGAUCUCCUGAAAAUUACCCUAGGCCUAUCCUUUAUCACAUCGAAUUUACAACUGUCUUCAUCGCUGCUUUAUUUAUUUCUGUCGCAUUGUUAUUUCUUUUGCAUAUUUCUGCUUAGCGUAACUCUAUCUACAUAAGGUUUAUUGAGUGAUCUCUUGUCUCUGUGAUUCGACCCCUAGAUACUACAACUGCACAUCUAUGCUCUUGCAGAGUAGCUUAGGGAUUAAACUUUGAGCAUAUCAAGUUUUGGCGCCGUUGCCGGGGACUUGAUUUCGCCAUUAAACCUAGUUUUUGAGUUUCGACUAAGUUUUUCAACUUAGUGUCGAGCGACACCACUUGUGGUGUCGCGCGACACCUUUCUUUUUAUAACCUAAUUUGCUUACUUCGUUUUCUCUCUCUCUGUUUUUGGUGUUUCAGGUUUAUGCAUACUCGUGGAACCAGAAGCAACAAGGACAUCCCGCUAGUGAAUUUGAGCAACGAACAGCUAGCUGAGUUAGAGCGAACGAACAGGAAAGCAAGAGAUCCGGCAAUGAUGGAAAACGCCAAUGGACUUGUUUGUGAUGAUGAUGGAACCUGGAGAGACCGAGAGGGUCAUCUGUGCAAUGCGAGAGGCCAAAGGCUUGAUGGAGAUGGUAACAUCAUUCCACCAGCGCCUUUACCAGUGGAUGUUGUUGACCAUAAUCCACCACCUGCACCGCGUGGUAAUGCUGUGAUCGUUCCACAUCAGAGGAACGUUCCAGAAGAUCGGAAUGCGAGGGAACCUGCGCCUGCAGCUGGUCGUGGACGAACACUUGGAGACUACAACAGGCCUGAGCAGUUCUAUGCAAAUCGUUCUGCGAUUCGCGCUCCUGCGUUUCAAAGAAACGAUUUUGAGCUGAAGCCUGUGUACUACACUCUUGUAGGUCAGCACCCUUUCCAUGGCCACUCUCAUGAGCACCCGAUGGACCACAUCGAGAGGUUUGAAGAUUUGGUCACCAGCAUCAAAUACAAUGGAGUGUCCAAUGAUUUCCUCCUCUGCAAGCUGUUUCCUUACUCUCUUGCUGGAGAAGCAGCUAACUGGUUGAAACAGUUGGAGCCAGGAUCGCUCACCACUUGGGAAGAAACCUGGAACGCCUUCCUGCACAACUUCUUCGACGAUGCUAGGUCUGAGGAGUUGAGGACGAAAAUCUCGACUUUCUCUCAGGAACCUACUGAAGCAUUCAAAGCUUCUUGGGUGCGAUUCAAAUCGUACCAGCGAGACUGCCCUCACCAUGGCUUCAGCGAUGUGCAGUUGCUGGGUAUCUUCUUCAGAGGUAUCGACUGGAGGUAUCAGAUGGCACAUGAUGCAGCAAGCAAUGGUAACUUAAACACCAGAUACCCAGAAGAAUCUGUUGAGCUCAUCGAAAAUUUGGCAUCCAGCAACAGCACCAAGAAUGCUGAUCUUGAGCGAAAGAAGCAAGCUGGGAACAUGGAUAGAUCGCAGAUCGCUGAAGUGAAGGCUAAACUUGAUUCUGUGCACAGCCUUUUAGUGGGCAAGAAAUCGGUCAGAUUCGCACAGGAGGUGGAGAGUUUCGAACCUGAGGAUGCAGUUGAGGAAGAGGAUGUCAACUUUGUCAGUGGAUCAGGAUUUUAGGGUCAGAGGUUUGGUAAUCAGCAAGGUAACAGAAGCUACAGUGGAAAUUACAGUGGAAACAAUCAGAGGAGUACCUUCAACAGUAAUCAGAACUUCUCUGGUUACACGCCUAAGCCUCAAUACCAGAAACCUUUUUCCAGCAACAGUUUUUCCAGGAACUACAGCACUCCUUCAUCUCAACCUCAAAAUCCUGUAAAUGAGAUGAAGUCUAUGCUGGAACAGAUUCUAGAAGGUCAGCAGAAGCUCACUGUGGACUUUAAUGGGAAGAUGGAUGCUCUCUACAUCGAUCUGAAUGGAAAAAUCGAAGCUCUGAACACCCAUGUCAAGCAGCUCGAUACACAGGUAGCCCAAACUGCAGGUUCUAUUAAAAGGCAAGAGGGUUUUCUUCCUGGGAAGACUGACACCAAUCCAAGGCAUCACUGUAGUGCUAUCACGUUGAGGAGUGGUAAAAAUCUGAGUUCUGAUCCCAAGAAGACGCCUCCUGCACCUGAAGUGGUGGAUUUAGAAGAUUCUGAAGCAGUUCUUGAGAUUGCAGAGCCGGUGACGAGCGACACCACCACUAGUGUCGCGCGUCACCAAUUGCAGAGCGAAGCUGUUGAUGUUCCGAAUCCGAAAUCUGCAGAGGAGAAAGUCUACAAACCUAAAGUUCCUUACCCAAGGAGCCCUAGGAAGUUCAAGCAAGAGCUUGAUGAUGCACGAUGCAAAGCUUUGAUGGAAAAGCUUGUGAUUGAGAUACCUUUGGUUGAUGCUGUAAAAAUCACUCCUGUUAUCAGACGUUAUGUGAAGCGAAUGGUAACCAAUAAUCUCAGCCAUGAACAAGGAGUGAUGAUGAUCUCUGAGCAAGUCAGUGCAGUGAUUCAGAACCGAAUUCCAGAGAAGUUGUCUGAUCCAGGAAGCUUUGUCUUGGAUUGCUCUAUCUUCACAGAGAGAUUCAAGAGAUCGCUGUGUGAUCUGGGUUCAAGUGUUAACCUCAUGCCUUAUUUGGUAGCUGUCAAUCUCGGCAUGACUGAUUUCAAGCCAACAAGGAUCUCCCUCAUCCUAGCUGAUCGUUCGACAAGGAUACCUGAAGGGGUGCUAGAAGAUGUUCCAAUCAAGGUUGGAGACUGCAUGAUACCGACUGACUUUGUGGUUUUGGAGUAUGGAGAGCAGCCUAAAGAUCCUCUUAUCCUUGGGAGACCUUUCCUAGCUACAGCAGGUGCUAUCAUCGAUGUCAGGAAAGGCAGGAUUGCUCUGAAUGUUGGAGAUCUGGUGAUGAACUUUGACAUGGACAAGCUGAUGAAGAAGCCCACAAUCGAUGGUCAGACCUUCUAUGUCGAUACUCUCACGGAGUUUGCUGAGGAUUUUCUCCAUGAGAUGCUGCCUACAGACCCACUUGAGAGAGCUCUGACCACAUCUGCCUCUGAGGCUGAACACUUGGACGAAAUUUCAGCAUCUUACUCGAAGAUGUUGGACUCCAGCGAGCAUGUGAUGCAGCUAGCAUCGCAGAUUGAACAGCUUGAGACUCCUGCGAAGGUGAAGCAGUUAUCCGACUGGAGUGAGGAGAAAGCUCCUAAGAUUGAGUUCAAACAACUCCCUGCAGGACUAAGGUACGCAUUCCUGGGCUCUAAUUCUACUUAUCCAGUCAUUAUCGAUUCUUCCUUGAACAAUGCUGAGGUUACCUUACUCCUGAGCAAGCUGUGCAAGCAUCGCAAAGCUUUUGGCUAUUCUCUUGAUGAUAUUUCAGGUAUUUCACCAGACUUGUGCAUGCACCAAAUCCACUUGGAGGAUGAGUCGAAGUCGUCGAUUGAACACCAGCGCAGGUUGAACCCUAACCUGAAAGACGUCGUCAAAAAGGAGAUCAUGAAGCUACUAGAAGCUGGAAUCAUUUACCCAAUUUCAGAUAGUGCUUGGGUGAGUCCUGUGCACGUGGUUCCUAAGAAAGGAGGAGUUACAGUUGUGAAGAAUGACAAGGAUGAGCUGAUUCCAACACGCACAGUGACUGGACACAGGAUGUGCAUCGAUUACAGGAAGCUGAAUGCAGCAACCAGGAAAGAUCACUUCCCAUUGCCCUUUAUCGAUCAGAUGCUGCAGAGACUUGCAAGCCAUCCCUACUACUGCUUCCUCGAUGGGUACUCAGAAUUUUUCCAGAUCCCUAUCCACCCAGACGAUCAGGAGAAGACCACCUUUACAUGUCCAUACGGCACUUUCGCAUAUCGCAGGAUGCCCUUUGGACUCUGUAAUGCUCCUGCGACGUUUCAGAGAUGUAUGAUGUCCAUCUUCACUGACAUGAUUGAGGAUUUCAUGGAGGUCUUUAUGGAUGAUUUCUCAGUCUACGGAUCAUCUUUUAAGGACUGUCUGGAUAAUCUCUGCAAGGUUCUGGCUCGCUGUGAAGAGAAACACUUGGUCCUUAACUGGGAAAAGUGUCACUUUAUGGUCAGAGAUGGGAUUGUGCUUGGGCACAAGGUAUCUGCAGCUGGUAUCGAGGUUGAUCGCGCGAAGAUUGACGUCAUGACGAGCUUGCCACCACCUGAUUCUGCGAAAUCGGUUAGAAGUUUUCUGGGUCAUGCAGGCUUCUAUCGUCGCUUCAUCAAAGAUUUCAGCAAGAUUGCACGUCCUCUUACUGCUCUGCUCUGUAAAGAUGCUAAGUUUGAGUUUACAGAUGAGUGCCUUGCUGCGUUCGAACAGAUCAAGCAUGCUCUGAUAAGCGCCCCCAUUGUGCAGCCUCCUGACUGGAAUUUGCCUUUUGAGGUGAUGUGUGAUGCUAGUGAUUUUGCUGUUGGUGCUGUUUUAGGACAGAAGAAGGAUAAAAAGCUUCAUGCAAUCUACUAUGCCAGUCGAACUCUGAAUGAUGCUCAAAGGAAUUAUGCUACUACUGAGAAAGAGCUGUUGGCUGUAGUUUUUGCUUUCGAGAAAUUUCGGCCAUACCUUGUGGGAUCGAAGGUGAUUGUGCACACAGACCAUUCUGCACUCAAAUACUUGAUGCAGAAGAAGGAUGCGAAGCCUAGGUUGCUGAGAUGGGUAUUACUCCUUCAGGAAUUCGAUAUUGAGGUCAAGGACAAGAAGGGGGUUGAGAAUGGUGUGGCAGAUCAUCUCUCAUGCAUCAGGAUUGAAGACGAUGUACCCAUAGACGAUUUCCUGCCAGAAGAGAAUGUGUAUUAUGUGGAAACCAAGUUCCAGAGCAGUUUUGACGAAGAAUUGCAGGUUUUUCGAAUUGGAGGAACGUUAGUGACGAGCGACACCACCACUAGUGUCGCGCGUCACCUUACUCAGGCGAACACAGAAACCUCCCAAAUUCGAAGCAGACUUCCUGAGAUCAGUUCAGCUGCUGUAUCCGCUACCCAACGUCCCUUGUAUGCUGAUAUUGCCAAUUAUCUCGCUGCAGAGGCUGAGCCUGAGAACUUUAAGGGCUAUGCAAAGAAGAAGUUCCUGAGAGAGCUGCAAAGAUAUCACUGGGAUGAGCCAUAUCUGUACAAGCACUGUUCUGAUGGGAUUUACAGAAGAUGCAUUGCAGAGUCAGAAGUUCCAGAGGUGCUGUUUCAUUGUCAUGGAUCUGAAUAUGCUGGACACUUUGCAACAUUCAAAACAGUGUCUAAGGUUCUUCAAGCAGGCUUUUGGUGGCCUACCAUGUUUCGCGACGCACAUGCAUUCAUCUCGCAGUGCGAUGCUUGUCAGAGGAGAGGAAAGAUCAGCAAAAGACAUGAGAUGCCACAGAAUUUCAUCCUUGAGGUUGAGGUAUUCGAUUGCUGGGGUAUCGAUUUCAUGGGUCCUUUUCCCUCUUCUUAUGGGAACAAGUACAUCCUGGUUGCUGUUGAUUAUGUCUCAAAGUGGGUCGAAGCCAUUGCCAGUCCCACCAACGAUUCUUCGGUGGUCCUUAAGAUGUUCAAGACCAUCAUCUUUCCUCGAUUUGGAGUGCCUCGAAUUGUUAUAAGUGACGGUGGUUCUCACUUUAUUAACAAGAUUUUCGAAAAAAUCCUAAGGAAACAUGGAGUUCAUCAUCGAGUUGUCACUCCUUAUCAUCCUCAGACGAGUGGACAGGUCGAAGUCUCGAAUCGACAGAUCAAAGAGAUUUUGGAGAAGACAGUGGGCAAAACUCGAAAGGAUUGGGCUGCGAAGUUGGACGAUGCACUCUGGGCGUACAGGACAGCGUUCAAAACACCUCUAGGCACCACACCUUUCCACCUGCUCUAUGGAAAGCCCUGUCACCUUCCAGUGGAGAUCGAACACAAGGCAGCCUGGGCGAUAAAGCUGAUGAAUUUCGACAUCAAGUCUGCUGCAGAGAGGAGACUGAUACAGCUGAAUGAGUUGGACGAAAUCAGGUACCAUGCCUAUGAGAAUUCGAAGUUAUACAAAGAGAGGACCAAGGCGUAUCACGAUUCCAAGAUCCUCUCCAGGCAAUUCGAACCGAAUGAUCAAGUACUUCUGUAUAACUCUCGUUUGCCAUUGUUUCCUGGUAAACUUCGUUCUCGAUGGUCAGGUCCUUUCAUAGUCAAAGAAGUUCGCCCCUAUGGUGCCAUCGUCCUCCUCACACCAGAUGGUAGCAGAGAGUUCACAGUCAAUGGACAAAGGGUGAAGCACUACUGGGCCAAAGCUGAGAUUCCGGAUGGACAUAUCGUGCCUCUAGAUGGCGCACCUCCUGCUUGAAUCGCCAUCAAGUCAAGCUAAUGACUUUAAACAAGCGCUUAGUGGAAGGCAACCCACUGGUGAGUCUGUAAAUAAGUCUUUUGUUUCAGUAAUUUUCGUUUUUCUUUUCGUGUUUUAGGUGAAACAGGGCUGGUGUCGAGCGACACCACCUUCGGUGUCGCUUGUCACUUGCUUCAGAAAAAAAAAAAAAAAAAAAAAAAAAAAUUUAGGAAAUCAGGAAACCGGAGUAAAACCAGAAAUUCGGAUUGGUCUGUUGGGGUAUGAGAGAACAAGUGUCGCACGACACCAUCAUCGGUGUCGCGCGUCACCAUCAUUGCAGCCAGGUACGUUCUCUGUUUUUCCUGUGUUUCUCUGUUUCUUUUCUUUUGUCACCAACUUCGGAUUUGAUUACACUGGGGACAGUGUUAUUCAAGUCUGGGGGAGGUAGUUGCUGACAUUGUGUUUGUUUUUCUUAAGAGUCAGUUGUGUCAAAACGUUUUUGAGUCAAAACCUGUUGGAGACCAUGAUGCUUUUCCUGGAAUUAUUGUGCUGACCUUUCACCUAAGUGACCACUGCUGCAGAUUCAGCCUAGAUCCGACUAAUGAAAAAUCCAAAGGCUGACCAGUUGACUAGAGGCGUCCAUGUUUCCAACAGAAUCCACUAACCUGAGCUAAGUACUGAACUUCACUUUUAACUCGCUGAUGUGACUAAUGCCUUAGAGCUUGAUUCCUCAUUCGUACUUGAUCAAUGAAAGCCUGUGUGAAAUUUAAUGAAGUGAUCUCUCUCCCUUGUGACGAGCUAAGAAAGAAAAAGGGCAAAAAGAUUGAGAUGAUUUUCGCUUAGGAGUGAAGGGCUAGGAAUGUUUCCAAUGAUCCCAUUAUUUCACUUCUAAGAUGGAAUGAUCACACAAAGGAAGGAAGUGAGGGGUAGGAAUGUUUCCCAUGACCCUACUAUUCGCUGAAAACCUUUGAUACAAGGUAAGGGGACAACUCGGGGACUUGGUGGCAAACACCAUCAGUACUCGCAGCUUUAUCCUUAUCGAGUAUGUGCCAUAAAAAAAAAGAAGAAGAAAAAAGAUGAUCAUUGUGCGAAAAGAAUAAGUCUGGGGGAGAGAAAAAGUACCAAAGUUUGUAUGGCUGAUUUGUUUGAGUACAGAAUGGGAAAGAAUCUAGAAGGUUCUGGGCAUUGGAAUCAUCAGUGAGAUCCAGCGAUGAGGGUUUAUGGACGAUGUUGUGAAAUUUUGGACUUAAUCUGGAAAGUUGUGAAUGUCUGCGGAGAAGUACAUGGUGGUUCGAUUUGGAAUGAUGAAGCAGUAGUUGAGUUGCAGGGUGAUCGGUCAAAGCGAUGUUCCAAUGAAAGGUUGAGUCUCUGUGUUUUCAAACUUCUUUCUCUUGUUUGGUGUUCUGUUUGCUUGAGGGCAAGCAAAUGCUAAGUCUGGGGGAGUUGAUAUGUCAUGGUUUUUAUGGUUUUUAACCAUGGUAUAAGUCCUAUUUAUAGAGUCUUUUUAGUGUCUUUCGAGUCUUUUGGAGUCUUUUCAGGUCAUAGGUACGUUUGGAGCUUAACUGGAGACUUUGGAGCACUUUGGAGCUUAAUCAGGAUCAAUUUCGUCAAGAAUGGAUUUUGUGCUUUGGUGACGCUCGACACCAUGGAGAGUGACGCGCGACACUUGUUAGAGAAAUAAGGAAAAGGCGAUUUUGUUUCCUAUUUGAAGAAGGAGUUGGGCCCAAACGUUUUCGAGGAAGCCCAAGACGUGUCUUAGAGAUAUAUAUAGGAUUUGUAUUCCCUUUUUACGUUCACUUUUAGAUUUUGAGAGAGAGAUACUCUGAGUUUUCGGCUUUUGCGAUUUCUGAGCUUGGGGAGACAAGUCUGUACUCUGUUUGUUUAGAGAGAAGAUUUUGAACCCCUUUAUCUAUUUCGAUUUAAUCUAUUGCUUUCUAUUCAUCAUGCUUGUUGUUUCAAUAACCAUGUCUGAGUAGAUCACCUGUUAGGUUUAGGGUUAAUUAGGGUUUUCUCUGAAUGUUUGAUUAACUUGCUAGUUAGGGUUCAUAUCUAUUUGUUCUUCACCUUAGGUUGUUCUUAAAGCUAAUUCUGGACUGAUCACCUAGAAUUUAGAUCUUAGGUUGCUUAAUUGACACGGAAGUGUAAUUGAAUAACUAGAAAGAACCUGAGUUGAGCAAAGUAGCUAUUCGCAAAGGAAUUUGGUUUAGCCGCUUUGUGAACAUAUCGAACUUGUGCAAUUAAGGCUGGUUUAAAUCUGUAGGAUUUACAAAGGAAUUUGGAAUUCUAGGAUUUUAACUUAGAUAAUUCUCACAACGGAAGUUGGUUAAUUAUAGUUCUGUGUUUCGAGUUCAAGAACCGUGCUUAAUACCUGAACCCUGACUUGUUAAGUUGAUUUGCAUUCAUUGAUCUCCUGAAAAUUACCCUAGGCCUAUCCUUUAUCACAUCGAAUUUACAACUGUCUUCAUCGCUGCUUUAUUUAUUUUUGUCGCAUUGUUAUUUCUUCUGCAUAUUUCUGCUUAGCGUAACUCUAUCUACAUAAGGUUUAUUGAGUGAUCUCUUGUCUCUGUGGUUCGACCCCUAGAUACUACAACUGCACAUCUGUGCUCUUGCAGAGUAGCUUAGGGAUUAAACUUUGAGCAUAUCACCAGGCACACAAAUCUCUGUGGAUUCGAUCCCUAAAUACUACAACUGAUUAGCUGUGCACUUGCGGCUUUCAUUUGUUUUGUUAAGGGUAAAACUUGUUCCCUCACGUAGUUGACACGAGCGAGCACGCAUCAAUAACACUGCUGGUUCUUUACCAAAGUGCAGCCCAUAACUCGUAGUGUAUCGCAAAUAGUUCAACACCCUAGUUAUUGCUUUCCAAUGAGUAUGACCUGGAUUACUUGUGUAUCGACUUAACACGUUUACCGCAUGCGCUAGAUCGGGUCUUGUACAAUUGGUCAAGUACAUCAGACUUCCAAUUACCCGUGCAUACUCCACCUGUGAUACUGGUUCACCUGUGUUCUUGGUUAGGUGAGCUUGCAUAUCCAUUGGAGUUUUUGCGGUUCCAUUCGAGUAGGUCUUAAACCUCUCUAGGAUCUUUUCAGCAUAGUGAUCUUGAGACAGAGUAAUUCCAUCUGAAGUUCGAAUGAUCUUAAUCCCAAGUAUGACAUCUGCAAGUCCCAUGUCUUUCAUGUCAAAUUUUCCAUUGAGCAUGUUCUUGGUUUGUUGAAUGAUAUUUUUGUUACUGCCAAUAAUCAGCAUGUCAUCUACAUACAGACAUAGUAAGAUGUAUCCGUUUGGAGUACAUUUGUAGUAGAUGCAUUUAUCACAUUCGUUAAUGCUGAAACCAUUUGACAUCAUCACAUUGUCAAACUUUUGUGCCAUUGUUUUGGAGCUUGUUUCAGUACAUACAGUGAUUUCACGAGUCUACACACUUUGUGCUCUUGACUCUUAACCUCGAAACCUUCCGGUUGUUUCAUGUAUAUCUCUUCUUCUAAAUCACCAUUUAGAAAGGCAGUUUUAACAUCCAUCUGAUGGAUUUCCAAGCCUCGCAAGGAUGCUACACCAAUCAAUAUUCUGAUCGAAGUUAUUCUCGUAACUGGAGAAUAGGUGUCAAAGAAAUCUAGACCUUCUUUUUGUCUGAAUCCUUGCACCACAAGGCGUGCCUUGUACUUAUCUAUAGAACGAUCAGCUUUCAGCUUGGUCUUGAAGAUCCAUUUACACCCUAGUGCUUUGAACCCUUGAGGUAAGUCAGUUAUCUCAUAGGUAUGAUUCUGCAUUAUAGAACUCAUCUCACUAUUGACAGCAUCCUUCCAAUAAGGAGCUUCUGGUGUAGACAUGGCUUCUGUGUAAGAUCUCGGUUCAUUCUCGACAAGAAAGACCAUCAUGAAAUCUUCACCAAAAGAUUUUUUCUUACGAGCUCUUUUGCUUCGUCUAGGUUCAUUUUCAACCUGUUCUACUUCCAUCUCAUUUACAGAAGUAGUCACAUCUCUUUCUUCACGAGUGCCUUGAUUCCAUGAUAGUAUUCACUUGGACAUCUGAUACAUCUAACUUAUGUACCAGAAAUUGAUAAGCACUACUAUUGUGAGCAUAUCCAAUAAAGAUACAGUCCACAGUCUUAGGUCUAAUUGUGACCUUCUUUGGAAGUGGCACUGCGACUUUUGCUAAGCACCCCCACACUUUCAGGUAUUUGUACGAAGGUACAUUACCUUUCCAAAGUUCAUACGGUGUUUUGCCAGUUACCUUACGAGGUAUUUUGUUGAGGAUAUAAUUUGUGGUGAGCAGUGCUUCCCCCCCCCACAGAUUCUGGGGUGUCCCAGAUUCCUGCAAUAUUGCAUUCAUCAUCUCCUUCAGAGUUCGAUUCUUUCUUUCCGCAACUCCAUUGGAUUUAGGUGAAUAGGGGGCUGUAGUUUGAUGGACAAUUCCAUUUAUCUUGCAAAACUCAUUGAAAGGUCCAUCAUAUUCUCCACCCCUAUCACUUCUGACCAUUUUGAUGGUCUUUGCCAGUUGCUUUUCAACUUCGAGUUUGUACUCUUUGAAUUUGUCCAAGACUUCAUCUUUACUACUCAGCAAGUACACGUAGCAGUACCUUGUACAAUCAUCAAUGAAAGUCACAAAAUACUUUUUACCACCUCUUGAUGGUAGAUAUUUUAAAUCGCAUAUAUCAGUGUAUAUUAAUCCAAGAGGUUCAGUAGUUCUUUCAACAUGAGGUGAUGGUGUUUUUGUGAGCUUUGCUUGGACACAAAUUUCACAUUUGUCUUUGCUAAUUUUGCACUUUGGAAUCAUGUUCAAAUUCAUCAGUCUUUGAAUGGACUUGUAAUUAACAUGUCCUAAACGUUCAUGCCAAAUAUUAGAAGACUCAACCACAUAAGCAACUGGGUUUUUAUUAAUUAAAUCUUUGAAAUCAUGUACAACUUUGUUUUUCUUCAAGAUUGUCAUUACAGACAUUUUGAUCAAUCCGGACUUAACAUAACCUUUUCAUAUGAAAACACUAUUCUUCCUAAGUAUCAGCUGGUCAGACUCAAAGUUGAUUGCAAAACCAUGCUUGCUCAUUAGAGUACCAGAGAUCAGGUUCUUCCUCAUGUCUGGAACAUGCUUCACGUUGUUGAGAGUAACCUCCAUGCCUGAAGUCAUCUUCAACACAACUUUUCCAGUACCUUCAAUCUUGGAUUGGGAAAUGUUUCCCAUCUUCAGUUGAUCAUCAAUCUUGCACUUCUGAUAGGUACUGAACAUUUCUCUGUCAAUACAGAUGUGUGUGGUAGCACCUGUGUCAUACCACCACACCUUGGGGUUCUCUUCCACCAAGUUAGCCUCUUGCUUGCGACAGGGCCUUUUGCUUGUAAGCAAGAUAGUUCUGGAAGUAUGCCCAACUUGGAGGUAACUUCUCAAUGAAGCAGUUCACCGUGAAUGUCUCACAUAACUUCAUUCCUUCAGUCCUAAUCUCUUGAAAGAUUAGUUCCAGCUCGUGCACUUGUGGCAUGAUGGGACGAGAAUCCACCAUCUUAAACUUGAGGAGUUUCGCAGUAGCGAAUUUCCCAGAGCCGACAUUGUACGACUUGUACUUCUUUUCCAAAGCAUCCCAGAGUUCUUUGGAAAUUUUGACCUCACUGUACACAUCAAACAGCUGGUCCACCAGGCGAUUCUUGAUGUGCCCUUUGCAUAGGAAGUCUGAGUUCUUCCAUGCUUCAACGGUAGCCAGAAUCGUAGCAUCUUUGUUUCCUUCUGGCACUGUUGGGGGAUCCUCUGUGAGGUACUUGCUCAGCUGCAUUGACGACAGAAAGAAUUGCAUCCUUUCUUGCCACUGCUUGAAGUUCGAACCAUCGAACUUGUCAAGAUGAAGUUCUGCGGUUACCGACGCUGGCAUUCUGACUUCACCCGAGCUUCCAUUGGUAGUCAUGUCGACAUCACCGUUAGUCAUAGUUGAAUCUGUUCACAGAAGAUAACCGAAGUUAGUAUUGAGAACCAAGAUUCAAAUCAGCGAUUAAGACGUUUAAGUCGCUAUGAACAGCGUUUUUCCGAAAAUGAUUCGCUUUGAGUUUCCACAGAUAUUACCAAUAGGUAUUCUUAGAACUCGAAAAUAGGUGUUCCCAGAAUCAUCUUUUGAUGACAUUCUUAAACCCUAACAAUUUUUUCGGACCUGUCUAUGACUGCCGCAUAAACCGUUUCAGAAGAUUCGUCUUUAACAGAUCAAAAGUUCUACGAAAUAGCUAAGAAACUUUCUCAGAAACUUUGUAGAUCGAUUUUAAAAACUCGCUUUUCCAAAAACCGUUUAUAAAAACUGUUUCGCAAUAUUCAAUCCGAUUCAAGCGAUAAGCAGGAAGCGGAUUUAUUGAGUUAAGAUUGUAGGACCGCAAAAAUCCGAUUGAAAUCACGAAUAGAAAAUAGCAAUAUUAUAAACGAUAUGUUAAGGUAAGAGAUUAAAACGAGAGUUUGAAAACCGAUUGAAAACAGACGAACACACGGAGUCGAGAUAUGAUCUCUUUCCUUAACUCAAUAAAUUGUCCGUAAUGUGUGACGGUUUGUUGCGAUUUUUGAAUCCCAGGAUACAACCGUGAUGAGACUAUUACGCAACACGCGUAAUAGAAUCUGCGAACUGAGAUUAUACUACGCUAUAGCUCUCGAGACACUUACGAUAUUAAGACGAGAGGGAUUUGCUAGAAAUAAUUAUUUGCUGUGUGUUUGGUGUAUUCGAGAAUUCGAUUUUUCAUUCGAUGAUCUAGAAUGAGAGAAGAGGGCGUCUAUUUAUACUGGAAGGUUCAGCUUGAUCCGCAAGGAAUAAGCUUUGGCAAAAAGGAAUAUUCACGAGAUAUUCUCCUUUUUCCGCAAGUAAAAGGAUUCGGAAAUCUUCCGUUAUUAUCUGGACGCAAUCUUUUAUUUCCUAAGAUUUAUCCUUUCAAUAUGCAAAAAAAUAUUUCGCAGGAACUAAGAAGCCCACGACCCACACCCAGCUAUAUAGAGCCCAAGAGCCCAAAAGUCCUAAGAGCCAACUAAAAAAAUGCAACAAGCAACGAGCAACGAGCCCGGCACCGGCGACGGCGGCGGCGCGCAUAGGUAUUUUUGCAUAAUGCCCUUUUACUUCCACAAUGCUGUUGAUCCUUAUUGUGAGAAGGCCAUAUAUAUACAAAAUAUUUUUCUCCUUAGUGAGCAAUGUGGGACAAAUACACUUCCACUAAACUUCCAUUUUUAGUUAUAGCCAAUAGAAACAUUUCAUUUCUAUAGGCUCAAACUCAAAUCUCAAAUGAAUUUAUAAGACUCAUUUGCUUAUUAAAUUUCAUUUCUUAUUCACACACAAACUUAAUAUUACAAGUCCAAAUAUUUAUUAAUAUUAGGUUCAACAAAAGACACUAAGACAAAUCGGAGUGUUCAAAGUAUUAGAGGAGUUGAUUUCAAGGUCUUGUUCUAGAAGAACAGAGGUUGUAAGUUCAGAACACUUGGAACGUCUCUUCAAUAUAUUAUUACCCAUUAAUGACAUCCUAUGAAAUGGAUCCGUAUACUGAAAAGUCUGAAAUAGAAAAAAGAAUAGUUGAUGAUAAAGGGCAGGCUAAAGAAGUGGAAUUGACAAUUUCUGUCAUGUCUAAGAGUAGAAAGUAUAUAAAAGCUUUUAAGAAAAGACUUGAUGAAUGGCAGGAAGAAUAUGACCAGGGAGUUUUAUAAAGCUGAGGAUGAUGAAAAAUCGAACAUACAAAGUAUUUAGCCAUGUCUAAAACCAGAAUAUCCUACUGCCAAAUCUGUUGGGUAGUAGAACUUUUCUAGUCAAUGCAGUGGCAAAUCGAAUAUGGGGGAAGAAGUGUAAGAUUUUUUCUCGAAAACUUGGUGAAACUUCUUAUAUGUUUCAUAUUCCGGACGCACCAACUAGAGCUUGGGUUCUACAACGAGGUUUAUGGCACAUAGAUGAUUGUAUCACGUUUUUUGUUGCUCCAUGGACUUCUGCUGCCACUUUAAUAUAUAUUUUUAUUGUCCCAUUUAUUUCUUGCUGAACAAGAAACCCAAAUGUGGAAAGAAAAGAAGAAGAAAUUGUUUGUGAUUUGAUCCUUUGAAGAGAUCAAUACACAUGUUUUUACAUUUUUAAAUAAUAAAAUUAAUCCACCAAACACAUGCCUGACUUUUCUAAUAUUUUUUUACUAUGUUGUUCCAAUUUGUAUUUGUUGGGUAUAUGAUAUAUCAUGAUGCAAAUGGAGAGUAUCAGUCUAAAUAAGGGUGCAUACUUCAAGCUAACCUAUAGCAAACAUGUAAGAAUCUCAGAGAUGAAAAAAAAAAACAACUCAAGCGGAAGAGUAUAAGAGAACUGAUUACCAGAUGGAUUAAAGGCAAGAAACGUUUUUUGGUAUCUUUGUCCUCCCAUUCAAACUCAGUUAUCUCUUCUCCAGGACCCAUAUCUAUUGUAAACCAGGCAAUUCGUGGGACACUUGUAGCAUCUAAGGGAAGCUUUCUCAGCUGUGGACACUCUUCUACUGUUAAUUUUUGCAAUAACAGUAGAUACUCUCCAGCUUAAGCAAAUUUCUUAUCGAAAACACUUCUAGUUUCUGAAACGGUGUAAUACCUCUAACUGUAAGAUUGACUUCUUUCUCUUUGCUUAUAAUAAUAUCUUCUACUUCUUCUGAAUAUCCACUUUGUAGGUAGACGACAAGGUUUGGAGCAAACAGUGGAUUUCUAAGUUCUCUAGUUUGGGAAAUUUCGUGGCUUAUGAUGAACAAGUUGGGGUUUGCUGAAUUUGAGUUCUGGUUUAAUCAAGACUGGUUAUAUCAUUAAUUCUUUAAGCCAGUUAAAGCAUUAUUAUGGUUCUGUUUUGGAAGUGGGUUCACUGACAUUGAUUUUUUUGUUUUGUUUUAUAAUUUAAUUCAUUUUCAUAGAUGAAACUGAAAGGUUACAAAUUACAAUGAUUCCCCGCAGGGUUACAGCGCAAAUAAACCUCAGACCGGUGAUCAUGUAUAAGCUUUCCAGCAGUCAAAUCCCAUACCUAUUGGAUAUGAUCAAAUAUUAUAUCAAUUGUUAGAAACACAUACGUUGGGGAAAAGAGAAUGCGCAAGAUCCAUUUAUAGAUAUUGCAGGCUUACCUUUACAACAUUGUCAAGUCCUCCAGUCACUACCCAACGACCAUCGGGAGUAAAUUUGAUAGUGUUGAUGCCACGAGUAUGACCCUUGUACGUCUGUAUGCAUCCCUUCUUUCUGAUGUCCCAAAUCUUCAAAUUCGUGUCACUUGAUCUAUGAUGCCAAAAAUUCACCAAACGGAUGACAUUCAACAGCAGAACAGUUGGAUCUAUGUCCAGUAAAAGCUCGAACCACUACACUUCAAGAGCAAGAGUGAACAUGUUAGACCUCAUAAUUCUAAAGUAAACGAUAGAUAUGGUGUGGUACACUGCUCAAAUAUCAGUAUCUCUAUAUGUUCCCAUUUGAUGGAACUAGCUAGGCAUAAAAAACAAAACACACUUUUUGCUCAACGAGGAAAAAUUUAGACAAGAGAGAAAAUGUGAAACAUACCAUUAAAGAAGUAGGCUUGCCGAUCGCCCAAAGGUUGACCUUGUAAUCAUCACCACCAGUAAUAAGGACCCGUAAUGUCUUCUUUCCAAUAUUUAAGCAAUUUACAUUUGCGGAAUGUGCCAAAACUCCUCUAAGUUUCCAAAUUUGUCAAGGUAUAAGCAAACACCAGACAAGAACAGCUAAAGAAAGGAGCAGCCUUUGAAGCAACUCGACAGCAAAACAUAAAGCAGGUCAUAAAUGGAUAGAAGUACUUUCACAUACAAAACAUAUCCAGAAAAUAUCCAUUUUCUAUCAUAUUGAGCAGCCAAUGAUAGAAACAUUUGACCCGGUAAUUUCUGCUGAAAUCUUGAAAUGCUAAUCAAAACUUGAAGCUUAUCUUGAAAUCUUGAAAUGCUAAUCAAUAGCAAACUAAGCUUUGCUCUUGGGAGUUUCUAAAGAUAAAGCCCUAACGAUUCAGUGAUAUAAAAAAAAAACGACAAAAAAAUCUCAGGAUGGAGCUAAAAAUCCAGAGUUCGUUCAAUUUUACUCAGCUUAAGAAUCAACAAAAUCGCCAGGAAUAUAAAAGGAUACGCAGCUUAUAUCCACGCUUCGCCAUUUUCUACUCGAUUCCCAGCAAAUCCGUGGGAAUCAAUGCAAUCCGAAUCCGGAAUCGAAUCUCUAGCUUCCGUUAUCGAUCUUAAAAACGGUGAAUCGGAGCUGAAAAAAAUUCCCAAUUGUCACUACACGACAGAGCUCGAGAUUUUCGGGAGAUUCAAAGGGAGAAACAUGAAGAAGAAGGAGGUUGCUUCCCGUUGGGAAUUCAAAUCUAAAACGUGAGAAAAGAAUCAAAUUCCGGGAACAAGAAUUUUGAAGGAAACGAGAUAAUCAGAGAUUCAAAUAGUGACACGGAGCAGAAAGAAGAAAAGAAACAGAAGAGAAGAAGAAAAAUGGUAAACCGAAGGAAGUUUUUAUUUUAUUUUUUUUCUUCAGAGUUAUACAUUUUUUUAUUUUUUUAUUUAUAGUUCGGUCGGUCCUUUUUUUAAUUUUUAAUUCAGAUUUUUAAGCAUUUUUCUUGGACAGUGGACCUCAUUUCUUCGUUGUUCGUUCUUCUCAGUUCUGACGGAAAUAUCAUUUUGUCCAGGCAUUGAAAUGAAUAUGAAGUUAUGAAAAUACCCUUGCUUUUAAUUGACUUCUAUUGGUUACAGUUUUUUGAUUUUUUCUCCAACUCCUUCAUAAUUAAACAUUUUUUAUGUUGUCAAAUAUUAUUCGAUAGGUGAGGAAACACUUCAUCAUCUCUUGGGUUUGUUUGUUUCUAUUGUCAACCUUAUAUAUAAAUAGGGUAAAUGUUUUGUUUGAUAAGACGUAAUAUUAUACAAAUAUAACACUUAAAUACUCGAAUCAAAUAGAUAAAUAGAGAAUUUUGAAUCGAAGCCUAUACAUAGUGUCUAGAAAAUCAAUAGAAACAUUUAAAUGAUUUAGAACCUUUAAACGAUUUAGAUAUUAAAAUCAAUUUUCAAAAAUAUUUACCAAAACUUUGUGGAUGAAAGAUGUUUUGCACAAUAUUUCGAAAAUUGAAACUGGACUAAAUUAUGUAGGAAAGAAGAAUCUACGACCGAGCUAACAAACACCCGAACACGAAACUCAUUAUGAUUAAACAAAUAUCAAACCUUUUUUUUUUUCUGACAUUUAUAUCAUGUUUUUCUAGGUCGGUCAGUUUCUAUGGUGCUUCUCAUCUUUAGAUGCUUUAGUAUUUCUCUUACAAUUAUGUUCAUUGUAUUUAGUGGUUGGAUGAUUUACUUUAAGAUUAGAAUACUAAGAUUUGAAUAUUCAUACAACAAUUUCUACUGUAGUUGAAAAAAACAAAGUAUAGCAAAUUGAACACAUUAUUGAAACACAUGUUAGGAAUCUUAUACUGAAAAUUUGAUAGAACCUAAAGUAAUAUAUAAGUGAAACGGAUCAAUCUGCACCAAUUACUUUUAAGUCAGAACCCAUAAAACAUAUUGUGGUAGCGGAACCCAAAUUUUGUUGACUUACGGUAGUAAUAUAUAAGUGAAAUUAAUCAAUAUGCUAAUUACCAGUUACUUUUAAAUAAGAAUAUCAUAACGUAAUGUGAUAGCAUAAUCCAAAUUUGUUGAUUUAAGUAGGAUAGCCCGAAUAAGAAAUAUUGUAGUUCGUGUAUGGCAUACUGCAAAUCUUAGAAUAUGUUUUGGUUUGAGUCUUCAAGAUGUGCUAGAUAGUUAUCAUCUAAAGGAAAUGGACUUAAAGAACUAUAUAAGAGAUACACUCAUAAUUCAUAUAUACCAGAAUCCAUUUUAUUGCCAAUUUUUUUUAGUUAGGAAUUAUAACCAAUGUUCAAAAAAUCGGCCUCAUAGAACUAUAUAAGAGAUACACUCAUAAUUCUUAUAUUGAAAUCAACAAAUCUUAGAAUAUGUUUUAUUUGUAUUUUUAGUUAAAAAAAACAAAGUAUAGCAAAUUGAACACAUUAUUGAAACAAAUGUUAGGAAUCAUAAGUUAGAACCUAUAAAACUUAGAAACAUAUAUCAUGAUAUAGAAUCAAAGGUCAUCUCACUAAAAAUUAUUAUGCUCACAUAUGGUUUAGUGAUUCAAAAAAAUAAAUAAUCAAACAUACGAAUUAACCAAAAUAUAGUCUUAAAAGUUUUAGGUCUGCUAAAAUGUUUUUUUUUAAAGGUGUUACUAUGCUAAGAGCAGGUCCAUUGGAGUAUGAUAUCUAGAAAAAGGCCCAGUAUCAUAGGCAAAUCAUUUAAAAUAAAUAAGAAAAAAGCCCAAUUGUUAUCAACCCGUUUGCUAUUUAGCAGACUUAACAUCUCGUAUGUUAAGACAGGUGGCUGCAGCGGAUUGGUUAAAAAAAUUUAAGCGUUUUUCCGAAAACUGCCCUUCUCUUCCACGACUUGUCAUUUUUUCGAACAAUCACUUUUUCUUUCUUCUGGGUUUCUCUCGCAGCCACCGGCGAUUUCUCUGUGGUUAUCGAUUUCGGCCCCGUUUACGUCAGUUUCAGCUAGGAUUCGACGGUGGAAGACUGCUCAAGGUAAGACCGAACUCUAUCUCUUCGAUUUUUUUAUUGUUCGGUCGAAAUUUGUAAAUUAGGGUUUCGUAGAUUUGGGGAUUUUUAAAAUUUCAUGUUCGGAUCGAUUGAAAAUGGCGUUUUCGGUUUGAAAUCUGUGUGUUGUAGCAAUUGAUACAAAAGAAUGAAUCCGAUUUGAUGGGUUUGUGGUAGUUUGCUUUUAGGGUUUCUGUGAUUUGGGGAAAUCGGUUUUGAAGGUAGGAUCCAUUGAAAUUUGGGUUAGUGUGGUGUGUGCGGUUGUUCUUCGAAGUGAUACAAGUUCGAUGAUGGCAAUAUGUGUUCGAUUCCUGUACUUGGAUAAAGUUGGUUGAUAUCGGUUUGUGUUCUCGAAUUUUGAUCACUUUACCUGCUCUUGAAUCAGCUGUAGUCACUUGAUAACUGUUCUUUUCGAGUUAUGUGAUGUUGGUUUAUCGUUGCAAAUGUUUAUGAGUUAUGUGAUGAAUGAAUAUUGACUAUCGAUGUUUAAGUAUUGAUUGUUGAGUUUUGUGGUUUAGAUAUGUUUUGAUAUGAAUGUAUAUAUGGCUGUUCUGUCUGAAAUGGAUAAGGUUAGUUUAGUUGUUUAUAUUACAUGGUCUGACUACAUUGAUAUCUGUUUAUGACAGAUAAUGCCGAGUCUCCCAAGUGACACCUCUUCCGAACCUGAAGUGGACCUUAGCUGGGCAUAUGCGGAUGCGACGUUUGGCAUCGCAGAGAAAUGCUUUUGUGGGCGACGAAUGAUAUUGGAGUCAAUGACCGGUGCAGGACCAAACUUACCAGGCCGCAAGUACUAUACUGCCCGGACUGGCUUGAAGAGGUAAUGGACAUAAUUUGUUGUUUUUAUGUACUAUUGUGUUGUUUUUAAUGGACAUACUGUGUGGUUUUUAUGUACUAAUGUGUUUUUUGUUUCUGAUUAAGGGACACCGCAUUCAUCAUCACCGCUGGCAGUGGUGGGAUGAGGCGGUAACCGAGCAGCUCUCCAUUGUGGACUCGACGCUAAGAGAGCAUAAGGAGAUGCUGACAAGGAUGGGUCGGAGUCCGUUUGAUCCAACCAUUGGGGAGAUAAACGCAGCGGUCAGAGUCCUCCAAGCAGAAGUGGGUAGACUUAAGGAACAGAAACAAGGUGAAGGGUUUGUCACCUUGUUUUUUAUUUUUGUUAUUGCAGUAAUCUCGUACUUCUUUAAGUAGGUGUAGCCUCGGUUUAGCUAUGUUCGACUGGUUAACAAUGGUUUAUUUUACUCCAUACGAGGAGUUAACUAUGACAACCUUGUUAGAUUGUCUUUAUUUACGGUACUAGGACUUCAAAACUUGUAAUGGUAUGUUAUGGAGCUAUGAAGCUAUUAUGAUAUGAAGUACUCUAUUUAAUGAGUUGGUUGAUGUAUUGAUUGUUGUGUUUGUUUGAUGUAUUAAGUUAGUUUUAAUGCUUUUUGUGAGGUUAAUGGUGGACCAAUCGAAAGAACCAAGUAAAGCUUCAGGUUCAUCAUUAUGUUAAGGUCAGUCUUCUCUCUUCUUCGUUUGCUUUAGUAGUCCAUUAGGAUUGUGAUAAAUUCUUGAUGACUUUAUUAGGUAAAUGUCUUUCAUAUUAAUGAUCGUAAAUUUAGGGUUGGUUUGUAAAAAGUAAAUGCUUUGUGUUAAGCCUUUUGCUUUCUAUCAUAUCAUAUCAAUGCCAUAGUUAUUACUAAAACCUAAACUUCUUCAAUAUUUUAAAAGUAGUAAAGACUUAAACUUAAACUUCUUCUAUAUUUUAAAACUUCAAAGACUUGAACUUAAACUUCUUCUAUAUUUUCAAACUUCAAAGACUUAAACUUCCAAAUCGUAUCCUUCUUCUUUCAAAACUUCAACUUCGCCUUCUACUUCUAAACCCCAACCUGAAACUCACUCACUUAUGGAUAUCCCUAACCCCUACCAAAAUGGUGAAGGUUUUGUUAACCUCUUAACAAGCCAGCUAGUUAAUGAGGUUAAUGCACCAACUAUCGACCUUCGAUCAGCCGACCUCCCACAUUUCAGUUCACAAGUUUUUGGGGAACCAACUCAAGGAGGCAGGAAUCAGGCGGAGCGAAGGAAAUGGACGCCAAAGGAAGACCUGGUUUUGAUCAGUGCCUGGUUGAAUACAAGUAAGGACCCGGUGGUUGGUACAGAUCAGAAAAAUACAGCCUUCUGGAAACGGAUUGUCGAUUUGUUCAACUCCUGUCCGGAUCUAGUUGGUCAGCCCAGAAGAGAGGUUAGCACCUGCAAGCAGAGAUGGGGACGUAUCAAUGACCAUGUCUGCAAGUUUGUUGGGAGUUAUCAAGCCGCCACGAAGGAGAAGAGCAGUGGCCAAAACGAUAACGAUGUCAUGAAAGCUGCUCAUGACAUCUUCUAUAACGACUAUGAGAUGAAGUUUACCCUAGAGCAUGCAUGGAGUUUACCCUUAACUCAGUUAUGCGAUGUUGGUCAGUCGUUAGUUUGUAUUAUUUUGUUCUCUUUGAUGUUAUUUGCCAUUUCGUAUGUUUGUAUGAUGAUAUUUGGUAUGGGUGUAUUGAGUUUUCUUUAAUUUUUGCUUUUUCAGGUCCUCAAUGAUGGCUAGGUGGAGUCACUUUAUGAAGUUUACGUCGUUGUGUGACCAGAAUAUUAUCAACUUGUGGUUGUCAUGAAAGUAUUUUGGAAUUUAGCACUUUAUAUUUCACGAGAUUUCAUUUUGUGGAUGUAGUGUAAUUGUAUUUUUGUGCACUUUGCAAGUUGUAAAACCCGUGACUCAAAUACUUCUCAUUUAUAUACAGUCUUUACUUCUUCACAUUCUUCACCAAAUUCUCAAAAACACAUACUGAAAAUCUCUUUCUACCAAACCACAAACUGCGUUCUGUCAUAAAUUUUUUUUCAAUAUAUAGCAAACACAAACACCAAACUAUGGCAUCUUCCUCAAACAACGAUUAUGAUGAUGAUUUUGAAGACGCGUUUGAUGGCAUAUUUGAUCAAAAAUUUGACGAGGCUGUCCAAGAAGUUCUAGACCGUCAAACAAGAGCAAAGCAGAAGAAGAAGCGUGCGUACAUUGAAAGGGAACGCGAACAAGGCCACAACCGUCUGUGGAAUGAUUAUUUCGCUGAAGAUGCAACAUAUCCUCAUCAUCUUUUCCGUCGCCGUUUUAGAAUGAACAAGGACUUGUUCUUGCGCAUUGUUCAUCGCCUAUCUACUGAAGUUCCAUACUUUCAACAAAGAAGAAAUGCGGCUGGCAGAUUUGGUCUUUCCGGUUUACAAAAAUGUACAGUAGCUAUCCGUAUGAUGGCAUACGGUUGUGCGGCUGACGCAUUUGACGAAUAUCUUCGUCUAGGUGCAAGUACUGCGUUGUUAUGUUUGGAAAACUUCACUGAAGGAAUAAUUAAUUUGUUUGGUGAUGAAUACUUGAGAAGACCCACUCCAGCCGAUCUCCAACGCCUCCUCGAUGAAGGACAAUCACGGGGAUUUCCCGGGAUGAUUGGAAGUAUUGAUUGUAUGCAUUGGGAGUGGAAGAAUUGUCCAACCGCUUGGAAAGGACAAUAUACGCGUGGUGCUGGAAAACCGACAAUCGUCUUAGAGGCAGUAGCAUCCUACGAUCUUUGGAUCUGGCACGCGUUCUUUGGGCCUCCAGGUACAUUAAACGAUAUUAAUGUACUUGAUCGUUCACCUGUUUUUGAUGACAUAUUACAAGGUCGAGCUCCAAAAGUGCACUACUGGGUUAACGGAAAUGAAUAUCGUUUGGCGUACUACCUUACGGAUGGCAUUUAUCCUAAAUGGGCAACUUUCAUCCAAUCAAUCUCACUUCCUCAAGAUCCUAAAUCUACGUUAUUUGCUACACGUCAAGAGGCAGUCCGCAAAGACGUCGAACGUGCUUUUGGAGUUCUCCAAGCUCGGUUUGCGAUUGUAAAAAACCAUGCUCUUUUCUGGGAUAAAGAAAAAAUUGGCAAGAUUAUGCGAGCGUCAAUCAUUUUGCACAAUAUGAUUGUGGAAGACGAACGAGGUACCCACACUUUAGUAGAUACAACACAAUUUGAUCAAGUUGAAGGAACUAGAACUUCACAUGUGGAUAUGACAUAUUCUACAAAUAUGUCUACAAAUCUGAACAAUGUGAUCAGCGAUCGAAUUCAAAUCCGAAAUGAAGUUCGGGAUAGGACAAUGCAUCUUCGAUUGAAAGCCGAUUUAGUGGAACAUAUCUGGACCAAAUUUGGUACUUUUGAUAUUUAGAUAAAUAUGUUAUGUAUUUUAAAUAUCUAUAGUAUUUAUGUUUAUGUUUUUAUUUUUUUUGUAAUGAUUCUAUUAAUAUGAAAGUUUUAAUUACAUAAAAAAAAUUUUAAAUUUGCAAAAAAAAAUUAAUUUUUUAUUCCUAACAACCUUUAUCUCGGGUUCACUAAUGGAAGCCCAAAUCAACCUCAGUAUCUUCACUGUUCACGUCUGCCAAAAGUAAUACUAUUUUAAUGUUAACAACCCCAUUAGUAGUAUGACUAAUGGACAUGCCCUAAGCUUCAAAUUGUAUUGUCUUCACUCUUCAGUAUAAGACUAAUGAAUAUUUAAUUUACAAUUUUGAAUUUUCUAAAUGGAGUAGGCCAAGAUCAGGCCCAAGCUAUAACCGCUUCCUACAGGCUAUUGAUGCAAUCAAAUGUUACAAAUUGCAAACGGCUAUUUGCAAUUUGUGUUCGCAUUGGUCCAUUGAAUUUUCUUUUUCUUUUUCUUUUUUAUAUCUUGUAUCGAGUCAUAUGGAAAUGGACAACACUCAGUUUAAUACUAGAUGCCCGGUAUCGGUUCUUAUCAGCUUCGCUGCUUUAUAUAUAGUCGCCGUCUGCAAGAAUCAUUCUGAGAAAUGCUAGACAAAAGUGAGAAAGACGAUUUCGUAAAAGAAAGAAGAUUGAGUUUUUCCAGAAACUACUCUACAAGAUUGUUGUAGUUUCUGGACACGCAGCUAUUUCAAACGACGAACCAAUGUUCAAGACCGGUGGGCGGUGAAUAAUUGUGCAUAUCAAUUAAGCUUGCGAAUUUUUUUUUUUUUUUUUUUGGCUGAAGAUUUGUUCUUGGGUUCUUGUUUUAAUGUUCUUAAUGUGGUGAAGCCAUUAAAAAAGGAAUGUGAAAACUCUUAAAAUUAAAAAGACUCUUUCCAUGUCUUCUUAAGUGAAGUUGUCUCUUAAGCUUAUUGCCCCCAAAUCAGAAAGCCUCUAGAUAUAGUUUGGGAUUAGAUGGAAGUCAUAGCAUCUUCAGAUUAGGUUUAGGGGGUUUAAAUUAAAGAGUCUGAAAAACAGGAUCUUCAUGAUUUAGCAAAAUCAUAUAACUUUUCAUCUUGAUUCCUCCGGUUAACAAUACAAACACACUGCAAGAUGAAAUAGAAAAAGCUACAGGUAGAGGAAUUUGAUUUUGAAUAGUGAGGAAUCAAAAUACACAGUAAAUUCAGAGGCAUCACAUGCUUUUAUGAUAUAUCCUUUCACGUAAAAGCAUAAAAACUGUUGAUUAUAUAAAUACAUGUAGCUUGAGAAAAAAGCAAUCCGCCUUAACUUAUUACAUAGAAAAAUGAAAACAGAAAAUCCAAUUGAACAACACAACACACUGCAGAGAGAUAAGAAUGCAUAGGAAAAAACAAUAAUACAAUCCAAUGAACAACACAUCACACUUUGAGGAAGAAAGAAAAGCAGAAGAAGAAGCGUGGAUUCUGGUUUCUGACUGUGAGGAAUCCCAAUCCAGCUUAAGGUAUGGUUAGUCAUACAGAACCUGUUAAGAAGAAAUAAAAUAAACAAAGUUAGUGAAUAUACAGAAAUUCAUCUAAAACUGCGAGGAAUAUCCAGCAAAUUCUGCCUCACCAUUAAUUUACUAAUUUUAAUCAGUUUCUAUUAAUUUACUAAUUUACGAAUGUGAGAGGAAACGAAGAAGAAAGAAAAUACUGUUUGUGAUUUAGUCAUUUGAAGAGCUCAAUGCACGUAUGUAUCUAAACUUUUGAAAUUAAUGACCCCUCGUAAAUAUCCAACAAACACAGGUCUGAUGAUUUUGCAGAUAAUUUUCUAAUUUUGUGACCCAAUUUGUGUUUUGUUGGGUAUCAUGAUGCAAAUGGAUCAUAUCAGACUAAAAAAAAAAACGAUCACACUUCAUUCUAACCUUGAGCAAACUUGAAAGAAACUCAGUAAGAUAAAUUAAUUUAUUCAAGCGGAAGAGAAUAAGAGAAAUGAUUACCGAAUGGAUUAAAGGCAAGAUACGUUUUUUGGUAUCUUCAUCCUCCCAUUCAAGCUCAGUUUUCUGUUCUUCAGGAUCCAUAUAUAUUCCAAACCGGUCAAGUCGUGGGACACUUGUAGCAUCAAAGGGAAGCUUUCUCAGCUUUGGACACUUUCUUACUUCUAUGCGCUGCAAUGAUGGAAAGGGGAGAGGACUCCAGUAGAUACUCUCCAGCUCAGGCAAAUUUAACAGGGAUAAGUAUACUAGUUUCUGAAAUGGUGUAGUACCUGUAAGAUUGGUUGCUUUCUCUUUGUUUAUGAUUUCUUCUAGUUCUCCUGAAUGUGAAAUUUCUAGCAAAGUCAGAUUUGGAGAAAGCAAUAGCCAAGUCAGAUCCUUAAUGCCAUGACAGCUAACCAUUGACACGACGGAGAGGUUGGUAAAGCAUGGACUUGUUGGAUUGUGUAAAUGAGAUGAGUCGGUCUUGCUUCCUCUGCAUUUAAUAUAUGUAUCAAUCGCCGACACAUGACUACCAUACACAUGGAGCACACUAAGAUUCUCCAUACUCAACAGCGAUGACAUUUUGAAUGGCUUUUCUUUAAAACGUUGAAUAUCCAGCCAACUGAUGCAGUUAGCCAACCUUUGAUCACCUAAUAUAUGCUUCAAACCCAACUCGGUAGAGAUCGUUAUCUCUAGAACUUGUAGAUGCUCCAAGAGCUGCAGCUCCUUCAACAAGCUAACAUCUCCAUGAACUUUAGAAUAUUUUAGUUUCAAAACUCUUAAACUCGACAGCUUUGAUAUCCCACUGAUACUACGAAGACUCUCUGUACCAGUCAAAUCCAGAUAAAUUAGCUUUUUCAACUCUUGGAAACCAACUGGCAGUUGCUCUAUACUUGUGUUCCACAAGUUAAGAUACUGCAAGGAGGCCAGCUUCGAUAUAUCCUCAGGAAGUUUUUUGAAAUAGCGAUUACGUGAUAGAUCCAAAACAACUAGCUUUUGCAUAGAGCCGAUGAAUUCACUUGAGAGAUUCUUCAAAUUAUUAAUGUGGAGGAACAGAGUUGUAAGUUCAGAACACUUGGAACCGCAUGUUAUCUCUUCAAUAUGAUUCUUCAUCAAAGACAUCCUUCUCACAGCUCCCCAAUCAUUGACUUUUGGCAUUUUGUAUAAUCCGACUAGUGCUUGAACGAAAAAAGUAUCGGAUGCAAUCCAUAGAGCCAUUUCGCGAAUCACGUCAUGCAUCACAACCUUUUCUUUUAUAUCAGAGAUAUUUGUCAGCAAAUUUGAGCGGAUAAGGGUACCAAGUAUCUCAUAACCCUUAUUCACUGUCCUUUUAUAAGAUUGGUCUUCCUUGAUGAAUCCCUCGCAUAUCCAGUACUCUAUCAAUUCUUCUUUAUCUAUAGGAAAAUCUUCCGGAAACAGAGCACAAUAGAGGAAACACGACUUGAUAUUUUCACCCACCAAGCUAUCGUAGCUGAACUUCAGAAUCGGAAGAAUUUUGUUUUCCAUGUCGGAAAACUCUGCAGCGGAUCUGGUCAAAACAUCUACUGCAAGCUCCCAUUCUUGCACCGUAGUUUUAUAUGACAUUGUCUCACCAAUGACAACAAGCGCUAGUGGCAGACCACGACACUUUUCAGCGACCUUUUUUGCAAGCUCGACAAUGGCAGGAUCUCUACUUAAUGUAUUGUCUCCUACCUUGCUUUUGAACAAUUCCCAUGCUUCUUCUUGUCCCAAACAGUCGACUUUCAUUGGCUCAUGAUCUCCCAUCCGUCCACAUACUUCCCGAGAACGAGUGGUGAAUGCUACUUUGCAUCCAUUUUCUCUGGUGGGAAAUGGAACUCCGAUGGCUUCUAAAUCCAAUUUCUCCCAUAUAUCAUCUAACAUCAGGACAAAUCUCUUCCCCUUCAAAACUCUUGUUAUAUCAGCGGCCUUGUCAUCUUCACUUUUGUUCGUUCCGCCAAGGUUUAGCUUUUGUGCAAUAUCAUCUUGAAGCUUUGAAAUAGUUGCACCUUGAGACACCACGACCCAGAUCACAACAUCAAAUCUACCAGCCAUUUCAGUGAACUUAUUGUGGAUUUUCUUGAAAAGGGUAGUCUUGCCUACACCACCCAUACCGUGCAAACCCAUGAUUCCAACUCCAUCUUCCAUAAGGCGCUUCCAUGCCUUUUCCAGCAUUGUUUCCUGACCAAUCGUAGGCCCAGUAGGCCUUUCUUCUACUGCAGAUCUCAAAACCGGCUCAGUAACCUCUUUAAAAUUACCCUCCGAUUUGAGUUUCUUAACCUCUUUCAGCAACAAGAAUACCUUUUUCCCAUAUUUGUAGCUGGAACAUACACUUUUUGAAGAUAAACCACAGAGACAUAACUUCUUAAGCUCAACAGGACUAGUACUAAGCAGAUUAUUGAAUCGUGUAUCGAUGCUCUCGACACGUGUUAGCCAUACCUUGACAGCUUCAAGCCUUUGUUGAUGUUGUGCCUCCUCUCUCGCUACUUUGUUCUUCACCUCAGCUUCAAUUGCCUUGAGAUCAUCCAUUUCCCUCUUCAGAGCCUUGAGAUUCUCCUUGAGGUUUCGAAUAUAACCCUUACCACAUAAGCAUCUAAAGAUACGAUUGAGAUCAUUACCAGUAAGUUGGAUAGGAUUACAACUCCCCAUGUCGAUAGAAAGAGAGAAAACUUUGAGUAAGCAACAAACGAAAGCUAAAGAUGAAGAAGUGUUUUAUGUGAAAAGCAUUUUACAAGUGACGAAGGCAUAUAUAAUUCCCUAUGGUGAUAAAAAAAUAAUAUUUUCUGAAGCUGAAGUAUGUCAAAAAUAUCAUUGGAGAUAAGAUAACACAUCUUUCUCCAAUACGGGUGGUUAGGAGAUUUUCCAAAGGAAAAAAAAAAAAAAUUGCUUACGAAAGACUUUGACUAUUCUAAUAUCCGACCAUAGAUUUUACGUGUGAAGACUUUGCUUAAACUUAUUUCAAGUCAACUAAAGUCCUAUCUUCUGCUCUUAUGUUCUUCGUUUGGCGCUUGUAGCUGUCAAUUUGUUAGCCAUGUUGGCUUUGUUAUUGUUUGUAAACAAUUCCUCCUCUAAUGGAGCGUAGCUAAUCUAUAAAAUCUCAUUAAAAGAAAACCCAAGUCUAAGGUUACAGAAACUUGGAUUGGUCAA
rnacentral:lncRNA from 1 species